GACAACACAAGUUUAAAAGAUAUAGAGAUUGACACUUCAUGAUCAUUUAAAACAAACUUGAUAAUCUGCCAUCAAAUUAAGGGUAACUCUCAAAAUUUCAAAGAAGAGUCAAACUGACAGAUCUAGCAGGUUUUAUCAUUGUCAGAAUAGCAUAAAUGAAAUAUAUGAAAACAUGAUAGAAAAUCUUGAAGCGAAUGGAUAACCAAUAAGCCAGCCACCCCAAUUCACGCACCUAUGAGGACUGUGAUAGCACGCUCGCCCACGCCCCGGUUGCAAGCGAAUGCGCCGCCGCAGGCAGCGAGUUUCGCACGACCAUUGGCGCGGGCGUCUUCCCCGCCACCCGAGCUAAAAAGUCCAGAGGGUGAGGCAGCUAACCCAUGAAGCACAUACACCUUAAAACUUGAACCACGAGGCAUGUAUGAUGGAAAGUAACCAAUUCAAAAUCCAUCCAGCUCGCUCUAGAACUGCAUACAACGAUGGACAUGUUAACAUCAAAAUUUAAAAAUAUGAAACGACCAACAACGGCACUAGCCAGAACACCAACAAUGCACAUGAGCUGAAGAGGAAGUUGGGUAGCAGGGUCAAGAACUCGCAGCAAAUCAGAAAAAAUGUAACAGCAAUCUCAAUUGUUGGCGCCGCCUCCUCGCAGCGCCUCUCUUCUUCCUCCACUCUCAACUCUCUUGUGGUUUCUUUCAAGAACACACACAAACGCACAAUGGUGGAACUCAGGGACACACACACGCAUGUACCAAAGAAGAACACAAACAGGCUUUGCCAUAGGCUCUCUUCCUUGGCUAUCACAAUGGCUACAUUUUUGCUUGUGCCAACACGGCUGCCUUUUCUCAUUCAUCUGAUCACCUUAUAAAUAACCAGUACAAGCAACUCACGCACGCACUAACCCGGCCACUAUGCCCGUCCACUAACAGCACGCAGCCACGCACACAUUGGCCAGCCGCCACACUCGGCGCUGCUAACCCCACUAACUAAUUCCUACAUGCAUGCACGUCGAGCCAUCCACUCAACUGCAACGACCCGGCCCAGCAUGCAUCUGACAUGGCUGCAAUGCUUAUGCUUCACGACGUAUAACAUUAUUGUUAGUCCUGUUUUGCCAUAUACAAGAUAGUCUGUCUUGCUCGCUUCACUGUUGUAACUAUAUUUUUGCCCUAGUCAUGUGUACUUACAGAAACAUUUCAGGAUGAAGUGACAUCAACACAAAGAUCUCAGAGUAGUGCGGCAUGGCCGUUACCAAAUGAUUAUCGAUUGGAAUUGGAAUGUGCUAAUAUUCUCGAGCAUCAACUCACUAGUAGAAAAAGGACCUAAUAUGUGAAACAUUAGUACCGGUUCGCAUAUGAGCCGACACUAAUGCUUCCAUUAGUGCCGGUUCAAAUGACUUGGCGGGAGGUGACCUUUAGUACCGGUUCUUUGGGAAUCUUUAGUACCGGUUCAUGCCACGAACCGGUACUAAAGAUGCUGGUGCCCGGCCAACACCUUUAGUACCGGUUCGUGGCACGAACCGGUACUAAAUAGGUUGUGGCAGGCGCUAUUUUUAGUCCCACCUCGCUCCCCUAACAAGAAUUUGACCACCUUAAGUAUGUUACUUCUCAAACCAUCCCAAGCAUUUGGUCUUCAUUAAACUCUAUGUGUAGGAUCUGUGGCUGCAAUAGGAGUCUUCGCCGGUUCUUAAAUCGGUGGUAGAUUCCUAUUGACGAUUUAGAUUCUAUACAAAAAGAUCAUUGAUGAUCAAUGUAUUUUUUAUAUGUACUUCUCUGUAGCAGUAGCGCGCGUUUUGGCCGAAAGGCGGUACUGAUCAAUGUAUUUUUUCUAUGUUCAGAUGCACAAUUUAAAUAUGUUAUUUUUCGAACUAUCACAAGCAUUUGGUCUUCAUUGAACUCUAUAUAUAAAAGGAGGAAGAAGAAGCAGAAGAAGAGGAAGAACAGGAGGAAGAAGAAGAAGAGGAGGAGGAGAAGAAGAAGAAGAAGAAGAGGAGGAAGAAGAAGAGGAAGAAGAGGAAGAAAAGGAGGAGGAGGAAGAAGAAGAGGAUGAAGAAGAGGAGGAAGAAAGAAGAAGAGGAANNNNNNNNNNNNNNNNNNNNNNNNNNNNNNNNNNNNNNNNNNNNNNNNNNNNNNNNNNNNNNNNNNNNNNNNNNNNNNNNNNNNNNNNNNNNNNNNNNNNCCCCCCCCCUUGGGCCCCCCUGCGCCUAGGGUUGGGAACCCUAGGGGAGGGGGCGCCUCCACUUGCCUUGGGGGGCAAGGCACCCCCCUUGGCCAACCCCCCGAGGAGAUCCCAUCUCCUAGGGCCGACGCACCCCCUGGGGACGCACCCUUGCACUUGGCGCCUCCCUUCCCCUUUCUACACCUCUCCCUCCCGCAGACGCUUGGUGAAGCCCUGUCGGGAUCCCUGCUGCAUCCACCACCACGCCGUCGUGCUGCUGGAUCUUCAUCAACCUCUCCUUCCCCCUUGCUGGAUCAAGAAGGAGGAUAUGUCUCCCUGACUGUACAUGUGUUGAACGCGGAGGUGUCGUCCGUUCGGCGCUAGGAUCUCCGGUGAUUUGGAUCACGACGAGUACGACUCCCUCAACCCCGUUCUCUUGAAUGCUUCCGCUCGAUCUACAAGGGUAUGUAGAUGCACUCCUCUCUCUUGUUGCUAGAUGAACUCAUAGAUUGAUCUUGGUGAAACCGUAGGAAAUUUUUUAUUUUCUGCAACGUUCCCCAACAGUGGCAUCAUGAGCUAGGUCUAUGCGUAGUUCUCUUUGCACGAGUAGAACACAAAUCUGUUGUGGGCUUAGAUGUUGUCAACUUUCUUGCCACUACUAGUAUUAUUUUGCUUCAGCGGUAUUGUGGGAUGAAGCGGCCCGGACCGACCUUACACAUAUGCUUACGUGAGACAGGUUCCACCGACUGACAUGCACUAGUUGCAUAAGGUGGCUAGCGGGUGUCUGUCUCUCCCACUUUAGUUGGAGCGGAUUCAAUGAAAAGAGUCCUUAUGAUGGGUAAAUAGAAGUUGACAAAUCACGUUGUGGCUUUUUCGUAGGUAAGAAAACGUUCUUGCUAGAACCCUAUUGCAGCCACGUAAAAGAUGCAACAACAAUUAGAGGACGUCUAACUUGUGUUUGCAGCAAUUGCUUUGUGAUGUGAUAUGGCCAAAAGUUGUGAUGAAUGAUGAAUGAUAUAUUGUGAUGUAUGAGAUCAUGUUCUUGUAAUAGGAAUCACGACUUGCAUGUCAAUGAGUAUGACAACCGGCAGGAGCCAUAGGAGUUGUCUUAAUUAUUGUAUGACAUGCGUGUCAAUGAUGUAACGCCAUGUAAUUACUUUACUUUAUUGCUAAACUGUUAGCUAUAGUAGUAGAAGUAAUAGUUGGCGAGCAACUUCAUGGAGACACAAUGAUGGAGAUCAUGAUAAUGGAGAUCAUGGUGUCAUGCCGGUGACGAAGAUGAUCAUGGAGCCCGGAAGAGGAGAUCAAAGGAGCUAUAUGAUAUUGGCCAUAUCAUGUCACUACUAUUUGAUUGCAUGUGAUGUUUAUCAUGUUUUUGCAUCUUGUUUACUUAGAACGACGGUAGUAAAUAAGAUGAUCCCUCAUAAUAAUUUCAAGAAAGUGUUCCCCCUAACUGUGCACCAUUGUGACAGUUUGUUGUUUCGAAGCACCACGUGAUGAUCGGGUGUGAUAGAUUCUAACAUUCAUAUACAACGGGUGUAAGACAGAUUUACACAUGCAAAACACUUGGGUUAACUUGACGAGCCUAGCAUGUACAGACAUGGCCUCGGAGCACAAGAGACCGAAAGGUCGAACAUGAGUCGUAUGAAAGAUACCAUCAACAUGGAGAUGUUCGCGGAUGAUGACUAGUCCGUCUCACGUGAUGAUCGGACACAGCCUAGUCGACUCGGAUCAUGUAACACUUAGAUGACUAGAGGGAUGUCUAAUUUGAGUGGGAGUUCAUUAAAUAAUUUGAUUAGAUGAACUUAAUAAUCAUGAACUUAGUUUAAAAUCUUUGCAAAAAUGUCUUGUAGAUCAAAUGGCUAAUGCUCAUGUCAACAUGAACUUCAACGCGUUCCUAGAGAAAACCAAGCUGAAAGAUGAUGGCAGCAACUGUACGGACUAGGUCCGGAACCUGAGGAACAUCCUCAUAGCUGCCAAGAAAGCAUAUGUCCUAGAAGGACCUCUAGGUGAAGCACCCAUCCCAGAGAACCAAGACGUUAUGAACGCUUGGCAGUCACGUGCUUAUGAUUACUCCCUCGUUCAGUGCGGCAUGCUUUACAGCUUAGAACCGGGCUUCCAAAAGUGUUUUGAGCAACACGGAGCAUAUGAGAUGUUUGAGGAGCUGAAAAUGGUUUUCCAAGCUCAUGCCCGGGUCGAGAGAUAUGAAGUCUCCGACAAGUUCUAUAGUUGUAAGAUGGAGGAAAAUAGUUCUGUCAGUGAGCACAUACUCAUAAUGUGUGGGUUGCACAACCGCCUGUCCCAGCUGGACAUUAACCUCCCGGACGAAGCAGUCAUUGAAAGAAUCCUUCAGUCGCUCCCACCGAGCUACAAGAGCUUUGUGAUGAACUACAAUAUGCAGGGGAUGGUGAAAACUAUUCCUGAAGUAUUUUCAAUGCUGAAGUCAGCAGAGGUAGAAAUCAAAAAGGAACAUCAAGUGUUGAUGGUCAAUAAAACCACCAAGUUCAAGAAAGGCAAUGGUAAGAAGAACUUCAAGAAGGACGGCAAGGAUGUUGCCGCGCCCGGUAAGCCAGUUGCCAGGAAGAAGUCGAAUGGACCCAAGCCUGAGACUGAGUGCUUUUAUUGCAAAGGGAAGGGUCACUGGAAGCAGAACUGCCCCAAAUACUUAGCGAACAAGAAGGCCGGCAACAGUAAAGGUAUAUGUGAUAUACAUGUAAUUGAUGUGUACCUUACCAGUGCUCGUAGUAGCUCCUGGGUAUUCGAUACUGGUGUCGUUGCUCAUAUUUGUAACUCAAAGCAGGAGCUGCGGAAUAAGCAGAGACUGGCAAAGGACGAGGUGACGAUGCGCGUCGGGAAUGGUUCCAAGGUCGAUGCGAUCGCCGUCGGCACGCUACCUCUACAUUUACCCACGGGAUUAGUUUUAAACCUCAAUAAUUGUUAUUUAGUGCCAGCUUUGAGCAUGAACAUUGUAUCUGGAUCACGUUUAAUGCGAGAUGGCUACUCAUUUAAAUCCGAGAAUAAUGGUUGUUCUAUUUAUAUGAGAGAUAUGUUUUAUGGUCAUGCCCCGCUGGUCAAUGGUUUAUUCUUAGUGAAUCUUGAACGUAAUGUUACACAUAUUCAAAAUGUGAAUACCAAAAGAUGUAAGGUUGAUAACGAUAGUCCCACAUACUUGUGGCACUGCCGCCUUGGUCACAUUGGUGUCAAGCGUAUGAAGAAGCUCCAUGCAGAUGGACUUUUAGAGUCUCUCGAUUAUGAAUCAUUUGACACAUGCGAACCAUGCCUCAUGGGCAAAAUGACCAAGACUCCGUUCUCCGGAACAAUGGAGCGAGCAACCAACUUAUUGGAAAUCAUACAUAGUGAUGUGUGCGGUCCAAUGAGCGUUGAGGCUCGCGUAGGAUAUCGUUAUGUUCUCACUCUCACUGAUGACUUAAGUAGAUAUGGGUAUGUCUACUAGAUGAAUAACAAGUCUGAGACCUUUGAAAAGUUCAAGGAAUUUCAGAAUGAGGUAGAGAAUCAACGUGACCGAAAGAUAAAGUUCUUGCGAUCAGAUCGUGGAGGAGAAUAUUUAAGUCACGAAUUUGGUACGCACUUAAGAAAAUGUGGAAUCAUUUCACAACUCACGCCGCCUGGAACACCUCAGCGUAACAGUGUGUCCGAACGUCGUAAUCGCACUCUAUUGGAUAUGGUGCGAUCUAUGAUGUCUCUUACUAACUUACCGCUAUCAUUUUGGGGAUAUGCUCUACAGACAGCUACAUUCACUUUAAAUAGGGCUCUGUCUAAAUCCGUUGAGACGACAUCGUAUGAAUUAUGGUUUGGGAAGAAACCUAAGCUGUCGUUUCUAAAAGUUUGGGGAUGCGAUGCUUAUGUCAAGAAACUUCAACCUGAAAAGCUCAAACCCAAGUCGGAAAAAUGUGUCUUCAUAGGAUACCCUAAGGAAACCAUUGGGUAUAUGUCGGGGAUAUACCCCACGGCGUAACCCGGCCAGAAGUAUAACCCGGCUGGAGCUUGGCGAUUCACUGGCAACCCGCUUGGACCUGGCGAUUUAUGAUUCAUUGGUGAUCCGGCAGGCGGGUCAGAGGAGCGACAAAGACCCGGUGGCCCAACGGGCGGUUUAUAAAGGCCGGCUCAUGUUAUGGUGGGCUGGUUUAAGAGGAAGACAUAAGGAAUAUUCUCCUACAAAGGAAGCAAGACUAGGACUCCACUUGUAAUAGAGUAGUCCUAAUCCAACUAGGAACGGUUCAUGUAAACCGCCCCUUCAACAUAUAUAAGGAGGGGCAGGGCUCCCCAAAGAGGACAAGCAAGAAACAAUCUCUAGGGCUAGAAACAACUAGAGGAGAGCCGGUUCACGGCGACUCCCUCAUGAUGAUAAUGAGAUCUAGCCUAAACAGCAUGUAGGGUUGUUACUGGAUGAUGUUUCCCGGGGCCCGAAGUUGUCUAAACCCUUGUCUUGUGUUGCGUCUCUCAGUUCCGCUCAACCCCUCUCAAGCUACCACAUAGAUGCGUUAGCCUCGCGACUAAGUCCUUACACUAAGGACAUCUGACGUGUUAAUUCCACGACAGUAUACCUUCUACCUUAGAUCCGAAGGCAAGAUCUUUGUUGCCAAGAACGGAUCCUUUCUGGAAAAAGAAUUUCUCUCGAAAGGAGUAAGUGGGAGGAAAGUAGAACUUCAUGAAGUAUUACCUCUUGAACUGGAAAAAUAGUGCAUCUCAGGAAAAUGUUCAUGUGGUGCCUACACCGACUGGAGAGGAAAUUAAUGGUGAUGAUCAAGGUACUUCGGAUCAAAUUGCUACUGAACUUUGUAGGUCCACAAGGACACAUUCCACACCAGAGUGGUAUGGCAACCCUGUCCUAGAAAUCAUGUUGUUAGACAACGGUGAACCUUCGAACUAUGAAGAAGCGAUGGCGGGCCCAGACUCCAACAAAUGGCUUGAAGCCAUGCAAUCCGAGAUAGAAUCCAUGUAUGAAAACAAAGUAUGGACUUUGACAGACUUGCCCGAUGAUCGGCGAGCGAUAGAAAAUAAAUGGAUCUUUAAGAAGAAGACGAACGCGGAUGGUAAUGUUACCAUCUAUAAAGCUCGACUUGUCGCUAAGGGUUAUCGGCAAGUUCAAGGGGUUGACUACGAUGAGACUUUCUCUCCCGUAGCGAAGCUGAAGUCCGUCUGAAUCAUGUUAGCAAUUGUCGCAUACCAUGAUUAUGAGAUAUGGCAAAUGGACGUCAAAACGGCAUUCCUUAACGGCUAUCUUAAGGAAGAACUGUAUAAGAUGCAGCCGGAAGGUUUUGUCGAUCCAAAGAAUGCUAACAAGGUGUGCAAGCUCCAGCGAUCCAUUUAUGGGCUGGUGCAAGCAUCUCGGAGUUGGAACAUUCGCUUUGAUGAGAUGAUCAAAGCGUUUGGGUUUAUGCAGACUUAUGGAGAAGCCUGCGUUUACAAGAAAGUGGGUGGGAGCUCUGUAGCAUUUCUCAUAUUAUAUGUAGAUGACAUACUUUUGAUGGGAAAUGAUAUAGAGCUUUCGGACAGCAUUAAGGCCUACUUGAAUAAGUGUUUUUCAAUGAAGGACCUUGGAGAAGCUGCUUACAUAUUAGGCAUCAAGAUCUAUAGGGAUAGAUCAAGAUGCCUCAUAGGUCUUUCAUAAAGCACAUACCUUGAUAAGAUAUUGAAGAAGUUCAAUAUGGAUCAGUCCAAGAAAGGGUUCUUGCCUGUAUUGCAAGGUGUGAGAUUGAGCUCGGCUCAAUCCCCAACCACGGCAGAAGAUAAAGAAGAGAUGAGUGUCAUCCCCUAUGCCUCAGCCAUAGGAUCUAUUAUGUAUGCCAUGCUGUGUACUAGACCUGCUGUAAACCUUGCCGUAAGUUUGGUAGGAAGGUACCAAAGUAAUCCCGGCAAGGAACACUGGACAGCGUUCAAGAAUAUCCUGAAGCACCUGAAAAGGACAAAGGACAUGUUUCUCGUUUAUGGAGGUGACGAAGAGCUCAUCGUAAAGGGUUACGUCGAUGCUAGCUUCAACACAGAUCUGGAUGACUCUAAGUCACAAGCCGCAUACGUGUAUAUGUUGAAUCGUGGAGCAGUGAGCUGGUGCAGUUGCAAGCAGAGCGUCGUGGCGGGAUCUACAUGUGAAGCGGAGUACAUGGCAGCCUCGGAGGCAGCGCAUGAAGUGAUAUGGAUGAAGGAGUUCAUCACCGACCUAGGAGUCAUACCCAAUGCNNNNNNNNNNNNNNNNNNNNNNNNNNNNNNNNNNNNNNNNNNNNNNNNNNNNNNNNNNNNNNNNNNNNNNNNNNNNNNNNNNNNNNNNNNNNNNNNNNNNGCCCAGAGAUACCUCUCCGUCAUACGGAGUGACAAAUCCCAGUCUCGAUCCGUGUUAACCCAACAGACACUUUCGGAGAUACCCGUAGUAUACCUUUAUAGUCACCUAGUUAUGUUGUGACGUUUGGUACACCCAAAGCACUCCUACGGUGUCCGGGAGUUACACGAUCUCAUGGUCUAAGGAAAAGAUACUUGACAUUGGAAAAGCUCUAGCAAACGAACUCCACGAUCUUGUGCUAUGCUUAGGAUUGGGUCUUGUCCAUCACAUCAUUCUCCUAAUGAUGUGAUCCCGUUAUCAAUGACAUCCAAUGUCCAUAGUCAGGAAACCAUGACUAUCUGUUGAUCAACGAGCUAGUCAACUAGAGCCUUACUAGGGACAUGUUGUGGUCUAUGUAUUCACACGUGUAUUACGAUUUCCUGGAUAAUACAAUUAUAGCAUGAAUAAAAGACAAUUAUCAUGAACAAGGAAAUAUAAUAAUAAUCCUUUUAUUAUUGCCUCUAGGGCAUAUUUCCAACAAGAGGAAGGUAUAUGUCCUUUCUGCUGUGUGCUAGAGCGAUAGGAUUAAAUUCAAGCGGAAAUUCCAUGAUGGUCCAUGAAAGGGAUUUUUCUGGAAUAGCGAAGGUCUUGCAGACCUGGCUAAGUGUAGGUUUUUUUCAAAGACUUCCAAGGAUUACAGGCUUGAUUUUAUUGCGUUGCUUGAGAUAGGACGUGAUAAUUUCACCUCACAGUUUCUUGGAACUAUUUCUGGUGGCCUGGUCUUUGAUUGACAUUGUUUGCCACCUAGGAGAAGGUUUGGUGGGAUCUUACUCAGAUUUAACUGUGAGUCUCUUGAGGUGGUAAACGUGUUUUUGGGUGAGUUCGCCGUCAAAUUCAUGUGUGAUCAAAAGUUGAUGGUUUCAGGUGGGUCACUGGUUGUUGUGUACGGGGCAGCACAACCAGAGUUCAAACCUGAUUUCCUUGCAGACCUGGUCAAUAUUUGUCAGGGGGGGGAGCUUACCCAUUUUAGUCGGUGGGGAUUUUAACAUCAUUAGGAGGCGAUAAGAAAAGAAUAAUGACAACUUUGACGGUCGAUGGUCGUUCAUGUUUAAUCUUAUCAUUGAAAGCCUAGAUCGAAGAGAGAUAGACCUCACAAAAAAUUCCACUGAUAAUGGUGCGAGCGUUACAAAGAGGAAUUUCUGAUCACACAUCCCUUCUUUUUGAUUCCGGUGAUGCGGUGCACAUUUGAAACAAAAUCAUUUUCUCUUUUCGAAACUGCAUGGUUCGAGAGAGAGGAUUUCCUUGACUUGAUAGCAAGGGAAUGGGCCUCGCAGCAAAGGGGUGAGUCGAGUGUCAAAAGAUGUGGCAAUUUACGAUUAGAUACUUGCGACCGUUUUUGAGGGGCUGGUGCUACCUCUUGAGCUUGCGUUGGUUUUCCCUUGAAGAGGAAAGGGUGAUGCGGCAAAGUAGCAUAAGUAUUUCCCUCAGUUUUGAGAACCAAGGUAUCAAUCCAGUAGGAGACAACACACAAGACACCGAAUACCUCCACAAACAAUCAACAACUUGCACCCAACGCGAUAAAGGGGUUGUCAAUCCCUUCACGGUCACUUGCAAAAGUGAGAUCUGAUAGAGAUAGAUAAACGGUAAAGUAAAUAUUUUUGGUAUUUUUGGUUUAUAGAUUGGAAGGUAAAGAUUGAAAAAUAGUAGAUCAGAAACUAGCAAGAUGUAACGAGAUUCAAUAAUAUGUAAAAGAGACCCGGGGGCCACAGGUUUCACUAGUGGCUUCUCUCAAGAUAGCAUAUAUUACAGUGGGUGAACAAUUUACUACCGAGCAAUUGAUAGAAAAGCGCAUAGUUAUGAUGACAUCUAAGGCAAUGAUCAUGAACAUAGGCAUCACGUUCGUGUCAAGUAGACCGACUCCUGCCUGCAUCUACUACUAUUACUCCACACAUCGACGGCUAUCCAGCAUGCAUCUAGAGUAUUAAGUUCAUAAUAACAGAGUAACGCAUUAGGAAAGAUGACAUGAUGUAGAGGGAGAAACUCAAGCAAUGUGAUAUAAACCCCAUCUUCUUAUCCUCGAUGGCAACAAUACAAUACGUGCCUAGCUGCCCCUGCUGUCACUGGGAAAGGACGCCGCAAGAUUGAACCCAAAGCUAAGCACUUCUCCCAUUGCAAGAAAGAUCAAUGUAGUAGGCCAAACUAAACCGAUAAUUCGAAGAGACUUGCAAAGAUAUCAAAUCAUGCAUAUAAGAAUUCAGAGAAGAACCAAAUAAUAUUCAUAGAUAAUCUUGAUCAUAAAUCCACAAUUCAUCGGAUCUCGACAAACACACCGCAAAAAGGUAUUACAUCGAAUAGAUCUCCAAGAACAUCGAGGAGAACAUGGUAUUGAGAAUCAAAGAGAGAGAAUAAGCCAUCUAGCUAAUAACUAUCGCGCCCUCCUGCCACAACCCCGAUGACAAGCCAAACAAUUGUUUCAUACUUUUGAUGUUCUCAAACUUUUUCAAUCUUCACGCAAUACAUGAGCGUGAGCCAUGGAUAUAGCACUAUAGGUGGAAUAGAAUAGUGGUUGUGGAGAAGACACAAAGGAGAAGAUUGUCUCACAUCAACUAGGCAUAUCAACGGGCUAUGGAGAUGCCCAUCAAUAGAUAUCAAUGUGAGUGAGUAGGGAUUGCCAUGCAAUGGAUGCACUAGAGCCAUGUGUAUGAAAGCUCAACAAGAAACUAAGUGGGUGUGCAUCCAACUUGCUUGCUCACGAAGACCUAGGGCAUUUUGAGGAAGCCCAUCAUUGGCAUAUACAAGCCAAGUUCUAUAAUGAAAAUUCCCACUAGUAUAUGAAAGUGACAACAUAGGAGACUCUCUAUCAUGAAGAUCAUGGUGCUACUUAGCACAAGUGUGGAAAAAGGAUAGUAACAUUGCCCCUUCUCUCUUUUUCUCUCAUUUUUUUAUUUGGGCCUUCUCUGUUUUUUCCUAUGGCCUCUUUUUUUUCGUCCGGAGUCUCAUCCCGACUUGUGGGGGAAUCAUAGUCUCCAUCAUCCUUUCCUCACAUGGGACAAUGCUCUAAUAAUUAAGAUCAUCACACUUUUAUUUACUUACAACUCAAUAAUUACAACUCAAUGCUUAGAACAAAAUAUGACUCUAUGUGAAUGCCUCCGGUGGAGUACCGGGAUGUGCAAUGAAUCAAGAGUGACAUGUAUGAAAAAGUUAUGAACGGUGGCUUUGCCACAAAUACAAUGUCAACUACAUGAUCAUGCAAAGCAAUAUGACAAUGAUGGAGCGUGUCAUAAUAAACGAAACGGCGGAAAGUUGCAUGGCAAUAUAUCUCGGAAUGGCUACGGAAAUGCGAUAAUAGGUAGGUAUGGUGGCUGUUUUGAGGAAGGUAUAUGGUGGGUGUAUGGUAUCGGCGAAAAUUGCGCGACACAAGAGAGGCUAGCAAUGGUGGAAGGGUGAGAGCGUGUAUAAUCCACGGACUCAACAUUAGUCAUAAAGAACUCACAUACUUAUUGCAAAAAUUUAUUAGUUAUCAAAACAAAGUACUAUGCACAUGCUCCUAGGGGGAUAGAUUGGUAGGAAAAGACCAUCGCUCGUCCCCGACCGCCACUCAUUAUGAAGACAAUCAAUAAAUAAAUCAUGCUCUAACUUCAUCACAUAACGGUUCACCAUACAUGCAUGCUACGGGAAUCACAAAGUUUAACACAAGUAUCUCUCAAAUUCACAACUACUCUACUAGCAUGACUCUAAUAUCACCACAUUCAUAUCUCACAAUCAUAAAGAAUCAAACUUCUCAUAGUAUCAAAUGCACUUCAUAUGAAAGUUUUUAUUAUACCCAUCUUGGAUGCCCAUCAUAGGACUAAUUUUACAACCAAAGCAAAUUACCAUGCUGUUCUAAAAGACUCUCAAAAUAAUAUAAGAUAAGCAUGAGAGUUCAAAAAUUUCUAUAAAAUAAAACCACCUCCGUGCUCUAAAAAGAUAUAAGUGAAUCACUAGAGCAAUAUUGUCUAGCUCAAAAGAUAUAAGUGAAGCACAUAGAGUAUUCUAAUGAAUCACGAUUCAUGCGUGUAUCUCCCAAAAGGUGUGUACAGAAAGUAUUAUUGUGGUAAACUAAAAAGCAAAGACUCAAAUCAUACAAGACGCUCCAAGAAAAACUCAUAUCAUGUGGUGAAUAAAAAUAUAGCCUCAAGUAAAGUUACUGAUAGAUGAAGACGAAAGAGGGGAUGCCUUCCGGGGCAUCCCCAAGCUUAGGCUUUUGGUUGUCCUUGAAUGUUACCUUGGGGUGCCUUGGGCAUCCCCAAGAUUAGGUUCUUGACACUCCUUAUUCCAAAGUCCAUCAAAUCCUUACUCAAAACUUGAAAACUUCACAACACAAAACUCAAUAGAAAAUCUCCUGAGCUCCGUUAGUAUAAGAAAAUAAAUCACCACUUUAAGAUACUGUUGUAAAAUAAUUAUUUAUUUAAAUUGGUGUAAAAUCUACUGUAUUACAACUUCUCUAUGGUUCCUAACCCCCGAUACUACUCAUAGAUUCAUCAAAAUAAGCAAACAACACGCGGAAAACAGAAUCUGUCAAAAACAGAAUAGUCUGUAGUAAUCUGUAACUCUCGAAUAUUUAUGUAACUCCAAAAAUUCCAAAUAAAUUGGUGGACGUCAUUAAUUUAUCUAUUAAUCUUAUGCAAAAGAAUAAACUUAAAAUGACUCUUCUGUUAAAAAUGACAACGAAUCUCGUGAGCUCAAAAGUUUCUGUUUUUUACAGCAAGAUCACAUUAACUUUCACCCAAGUCUUCUCAAAGGUUCUACUUGGCACAAACACUAAUUAAAACAUAAAAGCACAUCUAUCCAGAGGCUAGAUAGAUUAAUUAUUACUAAAUAGGAGCAAAAAGUAAAGAACAAAAAUAAAAUUGGGUUGCCUCCCAACAAGCGCUAUCGUUUAACGCCCCUAGCUAGGCAUAAAAACGCGAAUAGAUCUAGGUAUUGCCAUCUUUGGUAUGCAAUCCAUAAGUGACUCUCAUAAUAGAUUCAUAAGGCAAUUUAAUUUUCUUCCUAGGAAAGUGUUCCAUUCCUUUCCUUAACAAAAAUUGGAAUCUAACAUUUCCUUCUUUCAUAUCAACAAUUGCACCAAUCGUUCUAAGAAAAGGUCUACCAAGAAUAAUAUGACAUGUAGGAUUGCAAUCUAUAUCAAGAAUAAUGAGAUCUACAUGCACAUAAUUCCUAUUUGCAAAAACAAGAACAUCAUUAAUCAUUCCCAUAGGUUUCUUAAUGGUGGAAUCCGCAAGAUGCAAAUUUAAAGAGCAAUCAUCAAAUUCACGGAAACCUAGCACAUCACACAAAGUUUUUGGAAUCAUGGAAACUCUAGCACCCAAAUCACACAAAGCACAUCAUUCAUAAUCUUUAAUCUUAAUAUUAAUAGUAGGUUCCCACUCAGCAUAAAGUUUUCUAUGGAUAGAAACUUCUAGUUCAAGCUUUUCUUCAAAAGAUUGCAUCAUAGCAUCAAUGAUAUGUUUAGUAAAAGCUUUGUUUUGAUUAUAAGCAUGAGGGGAAUUUAACAAGGAUUGCAACAAGGAAAUACAAUCUAUUAAAGAACAACUAUCAUAAUUAGAUUCCUUGAAAUCCAAAAUAGUGGGUUCAUUGCUACUUAAAAUUUUGACCUCUUCAAUCCCACUUUAAUCAAUUUUUGCAUCUAGAUCUAAAAACUCUGAAUCAUUGGGACGCCUUUUAACUAAAGUUGACUCAUNNNNNNNNNNNNNNNNNNNNNNNNNNNNNNNNNNNNNNNNNNNNNNNNNNNNNNNNNNNNNNNNNNNNNNNNNNNNNNNNNNNNNNNNNNNNNNNNNNNNUUGCACAAUGGACGUGGGCAUGUUGAUUCAUAAAGCAAAAUAUUUCCAAUCAUUUAAAUGACUUAGGAAUUAGGAAUUAUAUGCUCUUUGCAUGAGAUUUCAGCUUCUCAGAAAGUAGAUUUGCAUUAUGAUAAAAUUAUUAUUUUUAUAAUAGAACAUAUUUUACUCAAGACGUACAUUGCACGUGCAUACUUACUAGUACCUAAUAAUAAAGAAAAUUAGAUUUCUAGUCGUCCGUCAUUAGUACUUUUGCAUAAAAGCUCUUAAAGUUUAUACGAAUCAACCCGCAGUCCAAGGUCAACCCGAACAGUUACGAGCGAGAAAAAAACACUCCCAAACGCAUCUCCACCAGCGCGCUGCCACCCCCUGCCGCGAGCCGCCGGCCCCAGCCCCUGUGCCACCGCCUACCCCGCUGGAGACACUCGAGGCCGCGGCCGUUGCCGGCUCCCACACCCGCGGGCCUCCGUUGCAAGCGGAAGCGAGGAGGUGGCGGGGUUCUUGGUGGUCGCCGGCGUGGCGAGGGCUGAAGGGGUCGCUGGCACGGGCGUCGGGCGCGGUCGGAUCAGAGGAACGCGGGCGGCGGCACAACGUAGGAAGGAGGGGCUGGUGCUGGAGCUUGAGGGCGCGGACGCCAUGGCAUGCGUCUAGAUGACAGCAGAGGGCCAGGCGUGGCUUGGCUUGGUGCUGGAGCUUGAUGGCGCGGCCGCCAUGGCAUGUGUCCAGAUGACGGCAGAGGGCUAGGCGUGGCUUGGCUUGGUGCUGGAGCUUGAUGGCGCGGCCGCCAUGGCAUGUGUCCAGAUGACGGUAGAGGGCCAGGCGUGGCUUGGCGUCGCUAAGAGCCACGAGGUCAUCGCUGCCGGCCGCCGUGGGACGCCUGCGUUAUGCUGCUCCAUUGCCGGCACCUGUCCCUGUGCGGCGCGUGCGAACCCGCCGUGAACACCUGCCCCGUGUGCGCGGCCACCAAGAACGCCUCGCUCCAUGUCCUCCUUUCUUGACCAUCCAACUCCGAGCCCCGGCUGGGAUCAAUAGGCAACAAUGGGCAAAGAAAUUAAAACUGAGAAAGAAGAUGAUCUUAAGGUGAAAUAAAAAGGAGGAAGAUGGAUGGAUGGAUGAUAAUGAGAAAAAAUACAUGCCACUGGUGAGCAAUAUAGGACCAUGUUACCCAACCCAGGAUGCACGGCGGGGCAAAGCGGUGGCUCGCGGGAGGGGUGUGCAGCGGCUUGGGCGUGCAGGCACGGGAUGGCGGGCGAACUCCACNNNNNNNNNNNNNNNNNNNNNNNNNNNNNNNNNNNNNNNNNNNNNNNNNNNNNNNNNNNNNNNNNNNNNNNNNNNNGCUCUUCGUAGAGACUGGCGCGGCGGUUGGGGCCUACUUGAGGCGGCCAUGGCCCGUUCCUGUGGGGGGAGUACAGAGAGAGGGGGGGGGGUGAAACGGAAAGAAUAAAAGCGAAAUGAAAGAGCGCGCGAGGUGGGGCCGUGGUUCUCCGGCGAGGUUGGUGCCGGCGUCGGGCAUGGAUGCAGAAUGAACGCCGUGGUGCGCGCAGCCGACAGAGGCGGCGCGUCCCGAGGAGGAGCUCGUCGGGGUUGGGGGAUGGAUGUUUCUUUAUAUUAUUGGGUUGUCGAUAGCGUGUGGAACCACAACGCUGGAGCGCCAGCGAGGCAUCUGGUUUCUUCUCGCUAUCAACCCACGUGUUAGCGCUGGCGUGCACGCAUGUUGAGCGGACAGAUGAAUAUCUCUGAGUUCAUUAUACGCAGAUACACACAAGGUACUAGGUACAUUUUUUUUUAUUUUGUGCUAAAGAGGUAUAGUAGAUUUUAUUUCUUGGAUACAGAAUCCAUAUACGUACGUGGAUUUCAAGUUCUAUACGUGCAUCCUACAGAAUUAGUGGUUCGUAUUUUUUCGUGAAAUCUGCUUAUAUAAUUUUACAAAGUGUCUGCAUACUUUAAAAAAUGGUUCUGUAAUUUAAAAUGUGUUUGUGCUUUUUGAAAAAAAAACAAGAUUUCUCAAAAAGUGCCUUUGCGUUUUAAAAUGUUUGUAUUAGUUUUUAAAAAAGAGUUUAUGUAUUGAAAUAUUUUUCACAUUUUCUUAAAAAAAUCACCCUUUUUUAAAAACGUUCAUGUAAUUCAAGAAGUGUUUGCAUGUUAAAAAGUUUGUAAUUUUAGAAAUGUUAUGUGAUUUAAGUAAGUGUUCGUGUGUUUUUAAAAGAAAAUGUUAAUGCAUUCAGGGAAAAAUACAAUUAAAAGCAAGUUGAAUUAUGAGGGACGAUGCAUGAAGUAGGUGCAGAGUGUAGCUCGUGUAGGGCGGCCCUUAGGUCCAGCUCGACUAGAUGAGUUUUAUAAAAGUUAUAAAUACCCUUUUGCGUUGGUGUCGGUGAUAAGUUUGUUGCGGUGGUGGCCGAGAUCAAAGGGGAUUUUUUCUCCUUACCCACAUGUGGGCCUUAAAUUCCUGAUUGACUUUUCUUUACGAACUGCUAAUUGGAGCAGUCGAAUAACCCGGGUUAAUUUGUUUUUCAAUCAAUCCUGUGUAAGGUUAAUGCGUAGUGCCUUUUCACGUGUUUUCUCUUAACAUCGAAUGUGAUAUGCAUAUUGUACUCGGUGAGAAAAUUUUCAAUAACUAACACCAAUAUACUAAUCUAGAUACCGUCAACAAUCCAGACAUUAUCCUUCAUCCAAUUGUUUUGUUGGCCAUACACCAAUAUUUAUGACAUAUGUGGACGUGAAUCAGAUGUUGCCAACUCUGGCAUCACCCUUGAUGAGGUCAUCAGAAUAACAUUCCAAAGGAAAAGUUUAGUGUCAUUUUAUUGUAUCAUUUUGUUAGCAUAAUCCUUACAAGUUUAGAGCAGCGAGCCUCCGAAGCUUCGUCUUUCAUCUUUUUUUCUCACCCAUCGUUUCAUACCAAUCAUAUUUCACCGUUAUAUUUUUUCUACACUCCCGUUACAACGCACGGGCAUUUGUGCUAGUAAUAAUAAAGCACAGAGUGUUUCUAGUCGUCCGUCACCCCUUUUUGCAAAAAAAUCUGUCAGUUUGUUGAAAUCAACCCACAAUCCAUCUUUAAAUCACACCGAACUGUUUUUUUAUUUUCUUAGAAAACCCCCUGACGUUUCAGGUAAUCAACCCGCCGUCCAUAUAGUGUUUUAACAAAAAAAAACUGAGCUUUCGGUUAAUCAAUCUGCAUUUUAUUCUAAAACAAAAUUAUCUAUAUCUUCUAAACCGUACGUAACUCCGUUGUUAACAUGUUAUAUAUGAAAUUUGAUUAGAAAAAAUUGUAGAAUCUAAAUAUGAUGCUACUUUAAACUGUUAAAUAUUUCUAAACUAUUAAUUUGAAUGCAAACUUAAUCUAUAGUGCACAGUCCGUUUUUCUUUCGCACUGACGGUGAUCCAAAUUGCAAAUAAACACACAUUAAAAACCAGAUUGAAAGGAAAGAAAACAUUGAUAACCACACAUGCGCAGCUCUGGAUAAACUCGCAGGAAAAAACAACAUAUUUUCUCAUAUUAUUCUGAGGGAUUGUGUGCGUGCGAGCGCGCACGCACGCGUGCGCUUGUGUGUGUGUGAGAGAGAGAGAGAGAGAGAGAGACGCCUUAGGACCGACCCUAUUCAAAUUAGGGGUGGGCACUUUUGAACCGAAAACCGAAAAACUGAACCGAACCGAACCAUAUUAACCGAUUUAUCUAUUAAUUCGGUGAUUCGAUUUUUUGUUCGGUGGGAAAUUUUAAGGUUGUUCGGUGUUUGGUUUUUGUUCGGUUUCCAGUGUCCAAAAACCGAAUACACCGAAAAAACCGAUAUGUACGAUACCCCAUGCAAUACCUUGUUUUCGAAAGUGCAGCGGGGGCGCGUCCUCUGGCAAAUACUUGUUGGUUGUGGCAGACGUCAGGCCAGCCGCUAGAUGAGUUUCAAAUCUCACAAUCUAACUAGUACUCGUAGGAGUAUGUAUGCAUGCCCGGCGCUUGGUUAUGGAAGUAACUAGCAAUUAGUGUAUCAAUUAGUGCAUGAGUUGCUUAGUUUACACGCAUCACACAUAUUCUUCGGUACAUAAUACAUGUAACGCCCCAUGUGAUUUUACACUUAGUUAUGUUCACUAGUUUGCUUGACCGAAUAAAGCACGGACUGAUGUUAAGGUUGCUAGCUCUUGUGAUAUAUACUGAUGAGUGCAUGUAAAUUUUGGUUUUUCGGUUAACCAAAUAAACCGAACCGAUAUAUUAUGGUUAAUAUGGUUCGGUUUCUAAAUAUUGUGUGAUUAAUUCGGUUUCCAUUUCUACAAAACCGAAAUUAUAAAACACCGAAUAAACCGAACCGUAUUAACCAUAUAAACCGAAUGCCCAGCCCUAAUUCAAAUGCAUUUUCGUUGUGUGAGCAUUGAGACCACCAUUGGGAACACAAAUGUGAUGCCAUGUUAAAAUAAAGAACGUCUACCUAUCAGGGUGUCGAGUCAUGAUUAUUGGGUUAAGAGCGUGUGUUUUUUCUGUCCCGUUGCGACGCACGGGCUCUUUUCUGUCCCCUAUUUUUAGGUAGUAUGUAUCAUUUUUUAAGUAUGCUCUUUUUUACGUACAAAUAUGUACGUAUUUCACAAAUAUAACAAAAACUAUGGGUUCGUAUGCAAUUUUUUCAUGUAACUUAUUUUGAAAUAUCUUAGAUAUAGUAUAUGAACAUAUUUAAAAUAAUAAAAUAGUAUAUAUAGUACCACAUACUAGUAUAUGAGACAUGUGGGGUAACUACCACCGGAUGGUACGAUGGAUUUUCCCAGGACAAAUUUUAUCUACCACCAAUGGUAGUUACCACCUAGCUAGGUGCCCUCCACGUGUCCCCUUUCCUCUCCCUCAAACGUAGCAUCAAGUCUANNNNNNNNNNNNNNNNNNNNNNNNNNNNNNNNNNNNNNNNNNNNNNNNNNNNNNNNNNNNNNNNNNNNNNNNNNNNNNNNNNNNNNNNNNNNNNNNNNNNUAUUGGUUAUUGACCGGAGACGUGUCUCGGUCAUGUCUACAUUGUUCUCGAACCCGUAGGGUCCGCACGCUUAAGGUUACGAUGACAGUUAUAUUAUGAGUUUACAUGUUUUGAUGUACCGAAGGAGUUCGGAGUCACGGAUGAGAUUGGGGACAUGACGAGGAGUCUCGAAAUGGUCGAUACGUAAAGAUUCAUAUAUUGGAUGAUAUGGUUAGGCCAAGGGGUCAAGCCCAUGAGGCUUUAGAUCGGUGCAAAAGGAGUUUUGCGGAGUCCAGGGGGCCAAACGCCGGAGACCCUGGCGUCUGGCCCUGGGCCAGACGCCGAGGCCCAUGGCGUCUGGGCCAGACGCCAAGGAUUGUGGCGUUUGGUCCUGGAGUCCGAGUGGGACUCUUGCCUUUCGGGAAAAACCGACUUUGAGGAGGCUUUUGCUCCAAGUUUCGACCCCGGGGCUCAACAUAUAAAUAGAGGGGCAGGGCUAGCACCAAAGGAACAACAAGUUGAUCCACGUGAUCUAUUCCUUAGCCGUGUGCGGUGCCCCCUUCCACCAUAUACCUCGAUAAUACUGUAGCGGAGUUUAGGCGAAGCUCUGCUGCUGUAGUUCAUCAAGAUCGUCACCACGCCGUCGUGCUGACGGAACUCUUCCCCGACACUUUGCUGGAUCGGAGUCCGGGGAUCGUCAUCGAGCUGAACGUGUGCUCGAACUCGGAGGUGCCGUAGUUUCGGUGCUUGAUCGGUUGGAUCGUGAAGACGUACGACUACUUCCUCUACGUCGUGUCAUCGCUUCCGCAGUCGGUCUGCGUUGGGUACGUAGACAACAAUCUCCCCUCGUUGCUAUACAUCACCAUGAUCUUGCGUGUGCGUAGGAAAAUUUUUGAAAUUACUACGAAACCCAACAACAAAUAGGUGAAGUAGCAAAAGCAGGGUCAGGUUUCAUUCUAGCAUUAAGAGAUUGUUGCUUCCAUUUAGCAAAUAACUUUUUAAGAUCAUAUCUAUCUUUGCAAGCAAAAAUAGCUCUAGCAGCUUCCUCAUUCAUAACAUAACCCUCAGGAACAACAGGUAAUUCAUAAUCAGGGGGAGAACUUUCAUCAUCACUAUCAUCAAUAAUAGCAUCUUCAAUAAUUUCAUUCUCUCUAACCCUAGCAAGUUGUUCAUCAAGAAAUUCACCUAAUGGCACAGUAGUAUCACGCACAAAAGUAGUUUCAUCAUAAGUAUCAUGCAUAGCAGAAGUGGCAUCAUCAAUAGCAUGCGACAUAUCAGAAUUCAUAGAAGUAGCAGGUUUAGGUGUCGCAAACUUACUCAUAACAGAAGGAGAAUCUAGUGCAGAGCUAGAUGGCAGUUCCUUACCUCUCCUCGUAGUUGAGGGAAAAAUCUUGGUUCUUUCGUCUUUCAAGUUCCUCAUAGUGAUCAACAGAUAUAAAUCCCAAGUGACUCAAAGAAUAGAGUUAUGCUUCCUGGCAACGGCGCUAGAAAUUAGACUUAAUAACCCACAAGUGUUGGGGAUCGCAAUAGCUUUCGAGGGUAAAGUAUUCAACCCAAAUUUAUUGAUUCGACACAAGGGGAGCCAAAGAAUAUUAUUGAGUAUUAGCAGUUGAGUUGUCAAUUCAACUACACCUAGAUAACUUAGUAUCUGCAGCAAAGUAUUUAGUAGCAAAGUAGUAUGAUAGUAAUGGUAACAGUGGCAAAAGUAAAGAUAAUAGUUUUGUAGUAAUUAUAACAGUAGCAAUGGAAAAGUAAAUAAACGAAACACAAUAUGUGAAAAGCUCGUAGGCAUUGGAUCAGUGAUGGAUAAUUAUGUCGGAUGCGAUUCCUCAUGUAAUAGAUAUAACAUAGGGUGACACAGAACUAGCUCCAGUUCAUCAAUGUAAUGUAGGCAUGUAUUUCGUAUAUAGUCAUACGUGCUUAUGGGAAACAACUUGCAUGACAUCUUUUGUCCUGCCCUCCCAUGGCAGCAGGGUCCUAGUGGAAACUAAGGGAUAUUAAGGCCUCCUUUUAAUAGAGAACCGGACCAAAGCAUUAACACAUAGUGAAUACAUGAACUCCUCAAACUACGGUCAUCACCGAGAAGUAUCCCAAUUAUUGUCACUUCGGGGUUGUGGGAUCAUAACACAUAAUAGGUGACUAUAGACUUGCAAGAUAGGAUCAAGAACACACAUAUAUAUUCAUGAAAACAUAAUAGGCUCAGAUCUUAAAUCAUGGCACUCGGGCCCUAGUGACAAGCAUUAAGCAUAGCAAAGUCAUAGCAACAUCAAUCUCAGAACAUAGUGGAUACUAGGGAUCAAACCCUAACAAAACUAACUUGAUUACAUGCUAAAUCUCAUCCAACCCAUCACCGUCCAGCAAGCCUACGAUGGAAUUACUCACGCACGGUGGUGAGCAUCAUGAAAUUGGUGAUGGAGGAUGGUUGAUGAUGACGACGGCGAUGAAUCCUCCUCUCCGGAGCCCCGAACGGACUCCAGAUCAGCCCUCCCGAGAGAGAUUAGGGCUUGGCGGCGGCUCCGUAUCGUAAAACGCGAUGGAACUUCCUCUGAUUUUUUUCCCGUGAAACGGAAUAUAUGGAGUUGGAGUUGAGGUCGGUGGAGCGUCAGGGGGCCCACGAGACAGGGGGAGCGCCCAGGGGGGCGCGCCCAGGGGUGUGGGCGUGACCCCCACCCUCGUGGACAGGGUGUGAGCCCCCUGGUCUUGAUUCUUUCGCCAGUAUUUUUUAUAUCCAAAACUUGUCUCCAUGGAUUUUCAAGUCAUUCCGGGAACUUCUGUUUUCUACACAUAAAACAACAUCAUGGCAGAUCUGCUGAAAACAGCGUCAGUCCGGGUUAGUUUCAUUCAAAUCAUGCAAGUUAGAGUCCAAAACAAGAGCAAAAGUGUUUGGAAAAGUAGAUACGUUGGAGACGUAUCAACCAGCGCGAUCAUUGUCGGCUUUAGCCUCCAAGUGCUCCUGAUCAACCAUCUUCUCAUCCUCGUCGUCCAAAUUAAUCAUGUCUGACUAAGCAGGAUGAGUGAUGAUCCCCAAACACCCCUGAUAGGCCUCCUAUUGUGGAUCCUCGUCCAGUGCAAUGAUCUCCAACCCCCCUGAUAGCCCUCCUCUUAUGCAUCCUCCUAUGAGAUGAUCUGCAACCCACUGGUCGCUCUCCUCUUCUUCGUUCUCCUCCUCGUCACUAUCGUCCUCCUCCAUUUCCUUGUCGACGACCUAGAUAAUACGCAAAUUCACCGGCCCUUCCGCCUCUGGAUUCGAUGAGGAGUGGCGGGAGUGGUAUUCGUACCGGCGGGCUCGCUGUCGGUGAGCUGGAGACUCCAUCGCCUCUGCCAUUGCCCACUGGAGAAUAUCAAUUGGGACUGCCCCCUUGCCCUUAGGAAGUAACCGCUUCCGCUCGUCCGUAGUCACUUCCAACGCCAGGGCCAACGAGUGCAUCAUGAGAGACUUCGCGCUCAGAAACCAGGAGCAUGUCUCCUUGCACUUGGCCAGCAAAAACUCAUCCCCGGCGCAAAACAAAUCCAUCGCCCUCUUCCAUCUUGGACCUGCUUGCCAUCAAUCAAACACCAAAUUUGCAAAUCAAAUAUUAAAAAACGAAUUCGAUUAUUCGGAUCAAAAUCACCACAAAACAAUCUAAAAUGGGCUCCAUUCAACAAAACCUAAUUUCUAGGGUUUUCUAUUUCAAAACUAGCUGCCAUUAGUACCGCUCGCAGGAAUCCAAUCCUAAAUAGAUGUCCAUACUGAUUGCAAACUGGAGCAACUCAACGCAUGACAAUUCAAUCGCUCAGUCGCCCAUUCAAUCGACUUAUAAUUGAAUCCUAAUUUCUAGGGUUUCGAUUAGAAACAUACCGUUUGGCCACCGAUCUCGAAUGGUUCCGGCAAUAUGGGAGGAAGGGCUGCCUGGUAGAACCACUGCGCUGCGCAAUCGGAGCUCAGGCAGACAGUCGGAGUGGCCGGCGGGAAUGCUAGGGGGCAAGGCGGCGGCGGUGUGUGGCUGGAUGGAGGAUGGGGCGGCUCACUCGGGCUCAGGCUGAUUUAAGCAAAAGAAAGUGAUUGGUAAGCGAGUCAGGUCCCACUCGCCAUAAACGGUCAUUGCCAUGGCCCACCUAUCAUGUGCAGCCCUACGCGUUAAUAACUGAGCAAGUAAUAGUCAACUGCUUUUACCAGACGGCAAGGCUUCGUUUGGUUCUUUGUGAGCAUGGGGUGAGUGGUGGAGGGCACAAGUUAGAGCGUUGGGAAAAAACGAGAACAACUAAAGAAGGAGGGGCAUAGAAAUAGAAAUCCCAAAAUUCAAAUGGUAUCUCAUACAUCAGACCAGAGGCCACAUGGGUUGGAGCAAUGCACGCUCCACACAAGGAGGCAUCGGAAAAAAGUGCUCAGGAGGAUUCCAGCAACGAUAAAUUCAUGUAGGGUUGUAGGACCGUCAACGAGGGCAACAAUGACUCACUGACAGCUGCCAUAAAUAAAUAAAUCUGCAAUAGUAAAAAUAUAGAAAUGAAGUGUCUUUAUGAGUUUAAAACACAUAUAAAACUAUAUAUAUAUAUAUAUAUAUAUAUAUAUAUNNNNNNNNNNNNNNNNNNNNNNNNNNNNNNNNNNNNNNNNNNNNNNNNNNNNNNNNNNNNNNNNNNNNNNNNNNNNNNNNNNNNNNNNNNNNNNNNNNNNUAUGCAGCACCAAGAGAAGGGGGGCUGAUCGAGAUCAAUCAUAGGGAGGGAGAGAUGAGGGGGAGGAGAUCCGACAGGGAGGCGAGAAGGGUGACGGGCAACACCGAGACGCGCUUCUGCUACAAAUUUUGGGAGGAAGACGGAGGCGGGGGAGGCCAAGAAGGAAGGAGGGACGAACCUGGGGCCGCCGGAGACGCGCCGGCGAAGCCCUGCCCGAAACCCUAGCCACAGGAGUGGGGUUGGAAGUGGGCGGCAGAGGACGGGAGCGGAGAAUCUGGCCGGAGGGGAGGCAGGCCCGGACCAUGGGGAGCUCGGGGGCGUGUUGCGCGUCGCCGGAGGUCGCCGGAAGCGGCCAGCGUGGGUGGUCGCGGCGGCGAUGACUCCAUGGGCGAGAGGGAGAGGAGGCGAGCCCGUGCUCUUUCUGUGGUCUUCUUUUUUCUUCACAAAUCUGCUCGGACCGCGGGUUGAAUACACCAAACGACAGGGUGUUUUCUGCAAAAAUGAAACGUUUUCCCAGAGUCACUUAAAGGGACUGCGGGUUGAAUUCGUGAAAACUGAGGGACUUUUCGAAAAAAGUGACGACGGCGUACGAUAGAAACAGUAUCCGCUUUAUUAUUAUUAGGUAAAAAGAUAAAGAUAUAUAUACCUAGUAUUUUGCCCAAAAUAAUGGGUAUUCAGUUGAAUACCCUUGACUUGAGGUGGGCCCGCCCCUGCACUAAACUAUCAAGUAGUCAUCAUACUGAGCUUGUCAAACGUUCAUAACGUCUGCAUCAGCUCUUGCAAUAGGUCUGUCACCUAGCGGUGCAUCAAAGACAUAAUUCUCUUGUGCAGCAACGAAGAUAAUCCUCAGAUCACGGACAUAGUCCGCAUCACUGCUACUAUCAUCUUUCAACUUUUCUCUAGGAACAUAUCAAAAAUAUAUAGGAGCUAUAUCGCGAGCUACUGAUCUACAACAUAGAUAUGCAAAUACUAUCAGGACUAAGUUCAUGAUAAAUUAAGUUCAAUUAAUCAUAUUACUUAAGAACUCCCACUUAGAUAGGCAACUCUUGAGUCAUCUAAAUGAUCACGUGAUCCAAAUCAACUAAACCAUGUCCGAUCAUCAUGUGAGAUGGAGUAGUCUUCAAUGGUGAACAUCUCCAUGUUGACCAUAUCUCUAUAUGAUUCAUGUUCGACCUUUCGGUCUCCAGUGUUCUGAGGCCAUGUCUGUACCUGUCAGGCUCGUCAAGUUUAACCCAAGUAUUCCGCAUGUGCAAAACUGUCUUGCACCCGUUGUAUGUGAAUGUAGAGCCUAUCACACCCGAUCAUCAUGUGGUGUCUCAGCACGACGAACUGUCAUAACGGUGCAUAGUUAGGGAGAACACUUAUAACUUGAAAUUUUAGUAAGGAAUCAUCUUAUAAUGCUACCGCCGUACUAAGCGAAAUAAGAUGAUGUGGCAUCCCGGCUCAGAGCAACCGGUUUACCUUGCAUUGCCAGCCCAGAGAUCAAGUCUUCUCACAACACACAACAUCAUGGUACAGAAACAACCGCUUUAUUGAUGCGAGCAGGUACAUAAGUCUGAUAUUACAUCGAGAUAAGAGGCCAAGCGGCACACAUGGUGCAGCUGAACUGUAUGUACAUUAUUUAAUGAACAUGAAAGGACACCGAAUAAUGACGCGGCAGCAGAAUAAGGACAUCAUAUCAACUACGCGGCAGCAGAAUAACGACGAAGUGGAAAUCCAUAGUACAGGGACACCGACGUGGACACGAUGCUAGACGCUGGACGCUCUCCGGUCCAAUCAGUCUUGCUUGAAAGCUGGCAUGACACGCCAGGUCAGUACAUUGAAUGUACUUACAAGCUCACAACAAACAUAAGCACAAUGACAAACAAUAUCAUGACAGUUAAUCAGGUUUAAUGCAAUGCAAGUGAUACUACAGAUGCAAUGAAACCGACAUGUGCACCGAGUCCCUCGGACUCGCUUAACAGACAGGUUACCACUGUAACCGAACUGUGAUCAUACCCGGAUCACAACUGAAGCCAAUCACUUACGAUCAUCACAUGAUCCAUAGUUCAUCAUGAAACCAGUGCCACAAUAAUACCAAGUUUGCAAGAUUAAAUAUAAUUUUUGAUCCAUGGUGUGACUUACUACCGAGUUGUGUCCAUAACUGAGGACGCGGGUAUCGAUAGAUUAAAAUACACUCUGUAGAGGUUAGUGCACUUUACCCACACUACGGAACUCAAGGGCCUCGCACUCCCAUUUGGGUGGACCACGGAGUUCCGACGAAUCCUUUCCCUUGCCAUGACACUCGCCCGGCCACUCCGACUCACUCCCACUUAGGGCUAAGUCAUGGGCGGCCCAUGCCUACCAAAGGCAUCUUCGGCCACCGUCGUGGCAAAAUGGUCCCAAACGGGGACAAGGUACCAUAAAAACAAACGAGCACACAAGGUUAUGUCUGCUUACCGGGCCAGGGUACCGCACGCCCAUAACCUUCCCUCAUUGGAGGCACCGGUAAGAGGCAUGACAAAGGACCGAAUCAAGACCCGCCAUAAAGGUAAAUGUGGUCGCACUAAAAAGAACCCGAUUCAGAGGCACCAUGACUUGAUCAACUUAAUCUUCAAGUUGGAUUAUUUUCAUAUUUAACUUGAAAAUAAACUCACUACAAGCCAUAUGAUGCCAUGAUCAUGCAACUAUCUGAUAUACUCAAGAUGCAACUCAUAAGAACGGAUCAACAUCAAAGAAAUAACUUUCUUGCACUACUCAUCAACAAAACUACUGGUAUUACUACACUGGUUAUUAUCAAAUCUCACUUUUAGUCAUUUAUCUUUAAUAUGAAAAUUUACUUAUCAAAAUAAACUACCAUUAUUUAUCAAAGCACUUUCAUUAAGCCAAAAUAUUUACUCUACUUGAUUAAACUACUUCAUGCAAUCAACCUAUAACUAAAGUGAGCAUAACAAGCAUGAUAAAGUAACUAAGCAUUUAAUCAUAAUUAUUUAACUAUUUUAAAUGCAUGAAAAUAAGCUCAUAUUCAAGUAGAGAAUCAUAGAUAUUGAGAUGACACUAUCCAAAUGUUAUUGUGGCUUGCCUUAGUGCAGAGGAGGUUCACACUCCUCCUGGAUAGCUUCAAGACAAGUCUCUCCUUUUGAAAAUAUUUAAAAACCACAAAACAAAAUAUCAAGAACCACUCUAAAAAUCACCAGAAAUUCUAGGCAGCAAGGAAAAAUCCACACUUUGGUGUGCUGCUAGAGUUUUCUGUAACAAACCAAAUGCAAAAAGAAUCAACUCAUUUGGACUUAUAGGCUAGGAGAAAUUCAAGGUCAAAGUUCUGGUCAAAAUAUUUGAAUUAAUUUGAAUAAACAGAAAAUCCAGGGGGGGUGACGUCGAUGGCGUAAAGCCAAAAGAUGCCUCCACUCGUACCGCUUCGGGUGCGAGUGGAGAGGCUGAUAGUGGGCCCCAUUAGUCAGGAGAGAGGGGAGGGGGAGAGAAACAGAAUGCGGCGGUGUUUUGCCGGAGCUCACGCCGGUGANNNNNNNNNNNNNNNNNNNNNNNNNNNNNNNNNNNNNNNNNNNNNNNNNNNNNNNNNNNNNNNNNNNNNNNNNNNNNNNNNNNNNNNNNNNNNNNNNNNNGCCGGAGGAAACCUGCUUUGCCUUUGCUGCGGUCUUGCGCAUGGUGACGCGGGCCUCGCCCAAGAGAGCCAAAGAUGGUACAUUCUUCACCGCCUUGCCGGCAAAGGUCGAGGAGGAGAGGGACAUGGUGGCUGCCGCCAUUGGAAAGCUAACAAAAGUGUCUGAUGUGUUGUAUGGGUUCUCAAAGAGAUGAGUGAGUGUGGAGAUGAUUUGGUAGUAGAGGGGGAGGUGGCUACUUAAGGCAGCAGGAGGUGUCACAGGAAAUCCAUUCAGUGUGCAAUCUGACAAGAUAAAUAAGGAUAGAGAGAAAAAUCUUGAGCUUUGCUGCCAUUGGUGCUGCACAGAUCUCUUGCUCUCAGAACACUUGGCGCAGUGAGAGCCAGGAGAAAUGAGUAUUGCUGUGAACUUGUGGCCAGGAGUGGCUGUGACUGGAUUUCGUUGGAGACAGCUGAUUGAAUCAAGUGUGUGAGUGAGACCUGCAUGGUUCGCAUGCACCAGAAAGCAUCGCGCGACGAGUUGUUGCGCUCACAUAUCUUUUAGAUUUCAGAAAAUCAAAAUAGGAUGCGCCAUCUCCUCUGGUGAAAGAUCACAUUAUCGAGCCAAAUUCCAUACAUAAAGCUAGAUAUAUCCAUUUUUACCGUAAUGAAAAAUGUAGGUCCAUCUUAAUUUGCCAUUCAGCUGAUAAAAUCAAUUUAUUCCAAUUUACAUCUGAAUAUUCUAUAUAUUUUAGUUUAACGUGGAGACUAAUUAUACUGCUACUGAAAUAAAAGAAGUUAUGUUUGGUUAAAUAAAAACAAAACUAUUAAUUUAACCUUAAAAGAAAAUGUUCCUCUAUUCAUGAUAAAUCUUUGAACAAAAAUAAAUAAAUAAAUCAAAGUGUGUAACAUUACCAAUGGCCCUUGCAGUUGGAUACCAAAUGACUCCUUCACUGAGAAUAUGGUAGGUAGACGCUGCAGAAUGAGGACCAGAACUGCUCGCCCAUAUAAACUCAUCCUGCAUCUCGAACUGGAGUUGGAUAUUUUGAAAAGCGUCCCACAGGUAUGCAUGGAUCAGUUUUAAAUGGUCACCUGGUAGUUUGAUAGACAUUUUCUGAAAGAAAUUUAUACUAACUUAGAGGUAGGUGCGGCAUCGUGCGUGGCGAUGGUGAUAACCUGUUUGGUUUAGGGGCAGUGCAGCAUCAGUCGUGUCGGUGGUGAUUGCGACAUGGUAAUUGAACACGGGGAUGAUCGCAUAGGACACAACGAUGUUUCAGUCGUCAGGUUUGGACCGGUCUUAAUUUGGAUUCAUAUACUGGACCUUCUUUUGCAUCCAUCGCAUGAGUAACUAACAAUGGGUGCUUCAGGCCAGGUGAAAAACUGGGAGCAGGGAGGCAAAUCUGCAGUGGACAAUGCUUUGGCACAGGGUCCUUUGUACUACUUCACAUGAAUGGUAGUACAAUUCAAACCCCACACACACACGUGCGUGCUGUUCGCUGCAGUCUCAUAGCCAACGGCCAUUCUUGAUUACUAGAUCAAUGUCUAUCUGUCUCUGAAUUGUCCAAAUCAUAACGUAAAAGCGCAGAGACCUGAAAAAUCACUGAUGCAGUAUAAUUGGACACACUCUGUUUUGCUGCAGAUUAAGAAAUGAAAGAAAGCCAUGGCCCUUGCAGUUGAGCCGGAUGGAUUGAGAUCGUUUAUGAUGGUUGCCUUAAUGGAAGGCCUGAAGAAUAAUAGCCAGCUUCGAUGAAAAGCAUUUCCCUCGCUCGGGCCCCGUAGAUUCACCGGCGUACACGAACAUAUAAGUUGUCUCUUGUCUGAACAAAUUAUAUAUGUUCUUUUUUACAAGGGAGCAUAUACAGAAGAGGGAAGGGGAAAGAUUACAAAUUCUUUUCUAUCCAAGAAAGAAAAUUAUUUGAGUGUUUUCUCUCUACUCCAUGGGUAACCAGAGUAAGAUCUUCGCUGAAACUUCCAAGCCAUCUUCCCAGAGAGGGCCUCUCAGUUCUGAAUAUUUAAUCAUUCCCGAUCUUCUAUACGUUCAAACAGCAUGGAAUGACUAUAUCCAUGCUAAAUGGAGUGUUAAUGGCUAUUCUUGCAAGCUUAAUUUCAUCAAAGGUUGACAUCCCGAUGAGCUUGUGAGGUAGAAAAGCAUUUCCAGCAUGCCUGAGAAAAACAGUAGUUCUAGAAGAGAUGAAGCUGAGAUUCUUCAGCUGUUCAUGGCAAAGGAUACAACUGUAAGAGUUAAGAUAAAAUGUUUUCCUCUGCACCAUAUUUCUGGUGCUAAGUUUGUCAUAAAGGAGCAGCCAACAACUUUUUCCAUUUGAGUCGACAGGCACUCUUAUUUCAUCAGCGUCUCCCUGAGUCCGAAGUGCAGUAAUGUUCUCUUGCAAUGGGACUGAACUGAGAGUGAGCCUGAGCAGAAAUAGGUCCAUGAAACUUGUCUGCUAGAUCAUGCAGUUGCAAAGAUGCACUGAAAGGAUAUUCAAGUUGGUGGCAUAGGAGCAAAGCUCAGCAUAAAGUUGUUGUAAAGGUUAGUCAGACCAAUUAUGUAGUCAAAGCAGCAAAGAAUCACCCGAGCCUGGUUUACAUGUUGCCACUCUUUGAAAUUGGGGAAUCAGUUUUAAAUGUGUCUUCCACCAACAUGGUAACAGUUAAGCAAGAACACACAGAAGUAUUUAUCUGUUCUCGUGAACCAUCAUAUCACAACAAAAUGGUCAGACCGAUGCAAGGUGCGACAUGGAAGUGGACAAACCGAACCGUGCUUUUGCACAAAUUUCUUGUAAUUUACAUCAUGAUAGUACAACUCAGGCCACAGGAGAACAUGCCUCAUUGCGAGCACAGUCCCAAGACACCUUACUUGCCGGGGACAAAGUUGGUGGCGAAUGCCCAUGCAUUGUUGUUGACGGGGUCGGCGAUGUGGUCAGCGAGGUUCUCAAGUGGGCCCUUGCCCGUGACGAUAGCUUGGACAAAGAAGCCAAACAUUGAGAACAUGGCAAGGCGACCGUUCUUGAUCUCCUUCACCUUGAGCUCGGCGAAUGCCUCAGGGUCUUCGGCCAAGCCAAGAGGGUCGAAGCUACCGCCUGGGUAGAGUGGGUCAACGAUCUCACCGAGUGGGCCGCCGGCAACACGGUACCCCUCGACGGCACCCAUGAGCACGACCUGGCAUGCCCAAAUAGCUAGGAUGCUUUGUGCGUGCACUAGGNNNNNNNNNNNNNNNNNNNNNNNNNNNNNNNNNNNNNNNNNNNNNNNNNNNNNNNNNNNNNNNNNNNNNNNNNNNNNNNNNNNNNNNNNNNNNNNNNNNNAAGAUCAAUUUCGAUGCGUCUUAUGAGAUGGCGACAGGAGCAGGGAGCUGGGGUGCCCUGGCCAGGGACGCUGAGGGCGACAUGGUUCUGGCAGCGGCGGGUGGGCUGCAAAACAUGCAAGAUGCUGUGCAUGCGCAGGCGACUGCAGUACUCAAGGCUAUCCAGAUCGCAGAACAGUUUGGGAUGGGCCGGGUGAUCUUCCAAAUGGAUUGUCUCUCGCUGCAGCAAGCAACGGCAUCGUCAACGUCAGACCGUAACCCCCUGGGAGUUUUAUUCAGGGAAGCUAAGUUCCAAAUGCAGCUCUCUUUCCUCCAUGCUACUGUAGUUUUCCAGCCCAGGAAUUGUAACAACCCAGCGCAUGUGCUGGCUGUCUCUCACGGUAGAAACCUCCCAAAUGGCCAAUGUGCUUGGCUUGAGGAGUUUCCUGAUGAUGUAACCCGUGCCUGGCCGCCGAUAUGGUCGGUCCACCGUAAUUUUGGAACGCAAGGUAUUCCAGCUAAAAAAAAAUGCAACGGUUACUGUUUCGGGAAGCAUUGAAAUCAGAAGCCGCGGCUUUUCUGCAAACCAAACGCGUCUAAUCGGUUUGUGCUUAUGCCGGGGAGAAACGAUGGUGACAUACUCACAAUUAUGUUAGUUUGAUGUAUACAAUUUAAAACCAAACACCGAAUAAUGUCUAUUUUUCAAACCGAACUAAAUCAUGUCAGGUGUGUGGCACUUCGGUCCUUUUUCUUGAUGGCAAUUUCAGUCAUGCAAUGAUGACAAAUUUGAGUGACACGACGAGUUUCUGUCUAAAAUAGCAUGAAAGUUGCCAUGCUUGCCUUCAGAGUUGCCAUGUGCUCGUACCUGACGAUUUAGCCUAUAUUUUGAUUAAAGCGGUUCGGUUUUGGAUUUCGGUUUUUGCUUGAAAGUGCCCACCCAAUGAGUGGUGGAGCUACAUAUAAAGGAAUAUCUAAAAGGAUUUAUAUUUAGAACGGAGGGAGUAGUAACUAUGGACCGGAUUUACCUCCUCGUUGUCCAUGAUCUACGGGCAAAUUUCUUCCCCACAGAGACAAAGGGAAGGUUUUUCUCGGUAAAAGUGAAGACAACAAAAGUAAUUGUGAUGUGGUAUUCUUUGUGGUGACUUCGUCAAUCUUCAAACUCUAUAAAUUCGAUCCGGUCUUUCGCAGUGUGAGUGCAUGUGUGUGGUGAUGUCAGUCAGUGAGUGUGCGUCUGCAUUUUAAUCGGUGUUUCUCAGGAGAAAAAACGUUACUGCCUUCGUGUACGUUACAAAUUAGUAAACCUUUUAAUCAUUAUCUCUACUGAUUUGAGAAAAUUGUGUAAUCCUUAAGCUUGGUACCCAUUUUUACAAGAGCCAAAGAAGUGCUCUGCUGCUAUCCUUUUGUAUAUAUAUUACUCUUUUGUACAAAUUUUUGCAUGUAAAGUAGAACUUGUAAGUACACGAUUUGCACUGGAUUAAUCUGCCAGCUGAACACAUGAUAAGAUGGUUGGCUAUGUCCUGCACUCCAGCUGAACUGUUUGUUGCUCCUCCUGCUGGUCCAGCUUUUGCUGCUGCAGUGCCUUUUCGGCCUCGAUCUUUCUGAAUGCUGUAGAGCUGAUCUUGUUCCCUGUAGAUUUCUCUGGCACUAGUUCCACCACCUCAAUCUAGGAGAAUGAUAGAAAAAUCAGUUUGUCAUCUUGCAGCACCUACCUAAAAUUUGUAGUUUCUGGAGCAAAUAGUUAGUGUUGUUGCAACCAAACCUCCAGCUGUGUGAGGCCUCUCUCGGCCCUCUUCCUGUUGACAGCAUGCCCUCCUCGCAAUGUCUCCUUGCUGGUCCGAGAAGUGCAUGGAAAUAAUAACAGAUUAAAUAUUUCACACUUGUGUAGAGAAUAGAGGAUAGUUUUUAUGAUACUUCGCCGUGCUAGGAAAAUAGAAAUCCUGUUUAAAAAAAGAAGCAAGCCGGUCUGUUAAGAAGCCUGACCUGACAACGAUUGCCUCCAGAGCCUCGUCGACAAUGGAGGGGCCAUAAGGGUCGAUGAUUGGUUCGACAUGAACCUCAAGAUCCGGCUUGAUAGACUAGCGAGUUGACAGCGAAAUGUGUAAGAUAUAUGAAAAGACUUGAAGCUAAAUUUCAGGCUUACUGGCUGAAGUGCAAGUAGCAGGACACAAGUAAUUGUCACUUUCUAGUACCAAAAUUAUUCAGACGGAACAAGAGACACAGAACCAUACCAAGUUCUCUGCAGGCUACCUAUUAAUCUAGCGAGCUGAGUUCGGGUGAUACAUAGGCUGAGGAACAAGAGACUUUUCACGAUUAGGUGAAAGAUACCUUGAUAUAAUCCUUGACAUUUUCCAUCCGCGUCUCGAUUGGUUGUAUCAGGUAACCAUACUGCAAAGUGGAAGCGAACCACCAAAAACAAGAGAUGCCCAUCAGAUAUAUGCACAUAGAAUUUAUCUAGAAUAAAUCUAGAGGCCAUGACCGAUAGCUAGGCAGCUUUUACAAAGAGAAUGUAUGCAGUUGAACUAAUAAUUGAUGCUUUGAGGUAGAUAUAUGCACCUCAACUAAUGAUUGAUUAACCCCUACCAGAGGUGUGUAUCAGGUGCCCAUAGAGUUUCAACACCCUGUCCACAUUCAAUGAACUUUGUGUAGUUGCCCGGUUGUAUUCGUAGAAGCUUGCUAACAGUACUGCUCAACUACUUAUCAAUGUAUAUAUCUUUAUAUGAUAGUGACACGCUUAGGGCCUCUACUUUGAUUAGCAUGCUUCCAAGAGCGUACGAAAUAGAAAAAAGUAAGUGCCGGACUAACAUGUCAUGCUCAUUGGUACCAUAUACACGGCUGAAUUUCUACCAAAAAUUACCUUACUGAACCUUAGGAACAGAUGACUAUUUCCAAGAGGUUUGAGUCAGCUCAUGUUUUUUUUUUGUAAUAUAUAGUGCAAAGAAAUGCUACACAGAAAAUUUUCUUAAUGGUUCCAAUGCUCCAAAAUCAUGCACUCAAGUGGCAUUGCAUGGGACGACAGAACGGAUCCUUCCCGUUUUCUUGUACCCAGAGAGGAUUCGGUUGGUAUGAGCUGAGAGGUGACCAACAGCUAGGAGGACAUGUAGAUGUGGAGCAGCAUCAGCUACAGUCGUUGGCGUGUCAUGCGAGUUGAGACGUCUCGCGUCUCAAACUUUAAAUUUAAAAAUUGANNNNNNNNNNNNNNNNNNNNNNNNNNNNNNNNNNNNNNNNNNNNNNNNNNNNNNNNNNNNNNNNNNNNNNNNNNNNNNNNNNNNNNNNNNNNNNNNNNNNGCUAAUGGGUACGGUGUUGGAGAAGAUUUCAUUCGCCACAAGUGGGUUAAAUGAAGCUUUUGGAAGUUUGCUCAAAGGCUUUGAGGUACACGAUAAAAUACGUAAUUUCUGAUUGUUCCGCACACGCUAGGUGUGCUCCAUAUACAUAUUAGCCCCUAAGACUCUGGUUGCCAUCCCUAGGCGGCAAACGGAGGAUCACACUCUUUGGUAAUGAUCGUACUGCAUUCAUGCACAGGUGGCUAAGAGUCCGGCGAUAGACCGGAAUUCUGAAUUUGCCGAACUGAGGCGACAGAUUGAUGUCGUGGAUACCAACAUCACACUUGUAAAUAAGCGGCUUGACGAGUCAUAGAGUAUGCACUCAUUUUUUCCUCAUUUGUGUUAGGAAAUAUGAAGAGGAUUGAAAUAUUAAUAUGAUAUGAUGUGGCUGCAGGCGGAGCUGAUGCCAUUGAGGCCCUGAGGGCGGAACUUGCCCUAGCCAAGGAACAAGCCUGGGUUAGCAAUGUGGCUGCCCUAAAGGUAGCCGAAGAAUUGAGAGCCGAACAGGCUGCUCAUCGCCGAAGCGAAGAAAAGAUAGCCGAGAUGGCUAUGGAGCUAAGGGACACUGCCGGCCAGUAUGAGCUUCUCGAGAAGGAGAAUCAGGAAAAGGCGGCUGACCUGAAGAAGCCGCUGGAUUCAACUAAGGAGACGCGCUCUGAAAUUAGAGACACGUGGGAGGAACUUCGACAAGCCGGAGAAAUCACGGCUGGAAAUCCCUAUUUGUUGCGGAUGAAGUUCUUAGAUCCAAAGUAUGCUCCUUUGGAUCAUCUUUGGAGCACUGCAGAUGAAUAUGGGGAUUUGACGAAAAGUACGACUGAUGCGACCAAGUUAUUCAAGGAUCAUAAAGAUAAUGAAACAGAAAGGCUAUUUCUGGUCGCAAUUUAACGCUCCAACGCGCUCAUUGCCAUUGAGUGAGAAGAUGGCCGCUAUAGCCGAGCUCCAUAGGUUGUCCGGUCUUGCAAUGAGGUAUGUAAUAGACCAUCUAUGGUCGAAGGGACCAAGGCUGGACAGUUACUUUGGUUCGGUGCAGCAACUAUUUGGCGCCAGAUCGUGAAUCGAUGCCGUGAAGAGGUCGGCGUGCAUAGAGGGUGCGCGGAUGGCUCUUGCCCGCGUUAAGACAUAUUGGGCAGAUAUGGAGGCCACCAGCAUUGCAACCCAGGGCCCGACAGGAAGCCAAGACCCAGCCGAGCACUAUUUUGAGCAGGUCAUAGAAGGUGCCCGUAGAAUAGAGGCUCAGUGCCUGAAGAAUGUCAUGUUCGAGUGACAAAUCGAUUAAUUGUAAAAAAUUAUGUGUGAAAUAUAGAGGCUGUGUUUAUACUUUUGCCUAAAAGUUUUGUAAUGCCUCAUGUGCGGCCGUUUAUGUAUUCAUAUAACUUGAAAGUUAGCAGUCGUUGGCUUUAGCCCCCAUGCAUAUAAUGUGGGGGUGUUCAAAAAAUAUAUAUGCGUAAUCACACUUCAUCCAUCGUCUUGGUCCAUUAAGGAGGUGAUCGCACGUCGAACCAGGCAACCAGACUUUAUAGCUGUAACACUUUCACUUAGCCAUAGGGGUUUAAUGGUGGGGCUACUAAGUAGCCCCUAGUACAUCCGCGUGCAUCCGUAUAGGGGCACGUAUGUUCGUCACCCGGAAACGGUCCUUCGUUAAUGCGGAGGAAUCCUAUAUAUUCCGAUGAGUCUUCGAGUGGUUGACCAGUCUCUCGCUGUAUCAUGACAGUCCGUUUUCAGCUUUCUCUACUGAGGUGCUCAUCCGGAAUAACCAGGGCACAAUCGCAGUAGUUCUCCUUUGGCCGCCUUAGCCGAUAGAACGAAAUGUAAGGCAGCAAACCUAGGAGCCUGGCAAACCCAACAUUUGACCAAAGACAUGAUUCAGAGCUGAUGCAUAUAAGGCCAAACUAUCGAAGCCGAACACUCCCGAAGGUAUUCGGACAUUAUAACAUAUACUGGGCUGAGCAACGCCCUUGAUUAUGAACCCUAUAUUUCCAAGUACCUGCAUUGAUCUUUCUUGGCGAAAUGCCUAUUACGCCAGUAUCCGCUGUGGGUGUAUUGAAUACCCACGGGAUGUCAAGCAACAAAAGAUAGUAAAGAAGGUUUACACAGGGGCUUAAUCUAAAGAGAAACCUUUGAGCGGGGCCCUGCUGCACGUCUGCGCAUUUAUCUCCGUUGUGCCGUAUCCUGGAAGGGUGUUGCACGAAUAGUGUCUGUAAAAACGAAAACUCAUGUAAAAGAGUAAGCGUGCCAGAAGUUAGUUAUUAUCAAUGGAUGUUAGAAAUGCGAGAUAUUUGCCCAUUGAUGAGGCAAGCCGAAUUGUGGGCUUUAUUACAUGUUUGUAGCCCCUGGUAUCAUUUAUGGGGAUAUAUGUAUAGCACCCAGCUCAGGUUUAUCCGGGCUGUUGUUGAUGAUGGUGCACUGGACUCGUCUAACCGUGUCCGUGGUCUUGACGACCGAUCAUGCGUUCUGGUGGGAGAGGCCGCUUAAUGUCCGGCUACAAGAGCCGCUGCAUACUGCUCUGUGUUUCCGCUAAUGGUUAUGACACCACGUGGACCAAGCAUCUUAAGUUUAAGGUAGACGUAGUUCGGUAUUGCGUUAAAGCAAGCGAAGGCCGUUCUUUCGAGUAAUGCAUGAUAACCGCUACUGAAGGGAGCGAUGUCGAAGAGUAGUUCCUCGCUUUUAAACUUGUCGGGAGAACCCAAUGUCAGCUCUAAUACGAGGGAACCGCAACGAACUCUGUGUGAGUUGCGUGGACCAUGUUUACUGUUUUGACUUCUAGUGGGAAUUUUUUCUAUCCCCCCGUGUUCGGCUGGCGAGGCUCAUCCUCAUCUUCGCUUGGCAUUUCCCUUCCCUUGUGUUCGGUGUUUAACUUGCCGGCCUGCUUGAAGACCCAACAUUCUCUGUGAGUAUGAUUUGCAGGUUUUUCGGAGGUGCCAUGGAUUUGGCACAAUCUAUCCAGGACUUUAUCCAGGCCGGACGGUCCCUGUUUACUGCCCUUAAAUGGCUUAUUUCCUUGACCAUGUCGAGAGCCCCUGAAUCCGGCAUUCACNNNNNNNNNNNNNNNNNNNNNNNNNNNNNNNNNNNNNNNNNNNNNNNNNNNNNNNNNNNNNNNNNNNNNNNNNNNNNNNNNNNNNNNNNNNNNNNNNNNNUGAACAUGGCAAGAUGGGCAAAUGAUAUAUAAUGGACAAUAAGCCAUAACCAUGUGAGGGACAUGUAGAAGAAAUGCGCGAAGUGUUUGCGCGAAGAGAGCGGUGGGAAAGACAAUCCACGUGAUCCCAAUUCAUCAUUGCUCUCUAGAGCUCGUUUUGUCAACUCAUGGGAUUGUGUAUACAUGGGUACCUUCACCUAUGUUACCUUUUUCAUUCCACUCAAGUGGUGUAGGUGAGGUGGGAAAGACCAAAUGGUGGUCAUCUUCAUCUUGAUGGAACCAUGUGGGGGGUGCAUCAUAUUCCACCAGGGCCAUCGUCUUGUCCAAAGGGAGGACGGAGUCGUCAAGGAUCGGCACGUCAUCAUAAAUGGGACCUAGCACCAAAUGAGAAGACACAAUAGAGGUAGAGGUCAAGUUGUUAGAAAUGCAAAUGGCCUCACGAGACCUAUCAACUAUCUCACUCUCUCUAUGUGGUGGUUCACUCACUCCCUCAAAGUAGGUGCACUCAAAGUCACAUAUGGUGGAGUCACUCAUCUCACACAAGUGGUGGGGGUUGUGGCUCUCCUCACAUGGAAAGUGGGGCAACUCAUUAUAUAUGGGGUGAGUGGUGAAGUCACUCUCACUCUCAAUAUGGUGGCAAAAGUCACUCAAGUCAUCAUACGUCGCCGUGGUCAAAGGGAAAAUCCCAUGCUCAAACAUCUCGUUGUCGUCGCCGUGGAUGAAGGCCGAAGAUGGCACAAUGUCACUCUCCUUCAUGACCGAAGGGAAAAUUUCAUGCUCGAUCAUCUCAUCACCGUCACCGUGGAUGAAGGCCGAAGAUGGCACAUCAUCACUCUCACCUCCAAAGAUGGAAGCAUCAUCCUUGCUCGCCACCUUGUCACUCGCCUCCAAAGCUUGGUCCUUGAGGGUCUCCGUAGUCGUACUCGUUGCCGCACCGUCUUGAAAAAGAGUCGUGGUAGACUCGGCACCAUCAAUGCCACAAAGAGGGGUGGCGGUGAAGUAGAACUUGGGAGCAUCGUCUUGGAGCUCGUCGGGCUUGGACAUCUUGGUGGUACUAGCCUCAUGCUCAUCGUAGAGCUUGGUCGCUGCGAAGUAUGCUUGGGGUGGAGAAGCCUUGGCCCUUAUGAGUUCUUGUUCCGCCUUGAGAGCACCAAUGUAGUAGUCGUCGAAGGACUUGUAGUUCUCGAGGAAGAUAGUCUUGGAGAUGUCGUUGUGCAAUCCCAUCAUGAAGUGUAACUUCAUCGAAAUGGGGUCGUCCACGCCGGCUCGUUACAAGGCAAUCUUAAUCUCCUUGAAGUACGCGUUGAUGGACUUGGAUCCUUGGAUGGUGUUCUCCAAUUGGCGUUGAAGUUGUUCUGUGUAGGUUGGAGGCAUGAACUCUCACCGCAAAGCUCUCUCCGUCUUGGGCCAACUCAUGUCGUAGUACUCCGAAGGUGUGUGAAACCACCAUGCCGAUGCAUAGUCGUGGAAGUUUCUUGUGGCGCACUUCACUUGAUCUUCGGGACGAACUUGAUGUAGCUUGAGGUAGUCAUCCAUCAAAAGCUCCCACUCGAGAUACUCCUCGGGUUCUUGAGUCCCAUAGAAAGGAAUCUCAUUGUCGGUGUCGAGGUCGUAGUAGCUCGUGGAAGUCACGGACUUGAGCUUGGGGAGCUUCUCUUGAGCAUAGUCUUGAGGUGCUUGUUGGCGAAGAUGCCGUAUGUCCGUAGGCGAAGAUGCCUUGAAGUUGCUUGGCGAAUAUGCCAAGGGAGACGGUGAAGUCGUUGAGCGGUUGUUGGUGUUGAGCUUUUGACCUUCACGUUCUUGUUGGUGAUGGUGUCGAUGUCGAUGUGAUCUUGCCGGAGAUGGUAGCUUGGAAGGAUGUGCUCUUGAGCGUCUUCUCGAAGAUGAGGAAGAUCGCUUGUAUGACUUGAUGAGGGCUUUGAUCUCCUCCAUUUUAGCUUGCAUCUUGGUGUCGGAGUUGUUGUUCGUGGCAUGGAACUCGUCGUUGUUGUUGUAGACCGAAGGUGAAAUGCCUUGCCUAUCCAUCACAAGACUCGAGUAGAGGUGAGUAGGGAAUGAGAUAAACAAUACCAAGUUACCUUUUCCCAAAGUUGAGGAUGUAUCCCGUUUCACUCAACAUGAAAUGAAAGAAUGAUGGAAUUGGUACCGGACUUGUUCACUCACACCUAUCAAGUAAAGCUUAUGGUAGAGCUCGGUGAGGAUAGUGGCACAAAAAUUUGAUGCAAAAUGUUAGCAAGAGUCAAUAAUGUUGAGAGAGAUUCACAAAUUCGCAAGCGAAACAAGUAGACCAAUAGCAAUGAAUGGCACACAGAAAUGCACACAUGGAUAGAUAAAUGGGGUCGUGCAACCAAGGAAUGAGCACAAAAUGUGGAAUCCACGAAAAACGCUUGUGUUGCACAACUCAAGAGAGACGCUAGCACGAUUUCUCAAUAGCCGGAUACGACACUUGUACACAACCUAUAAGAUGCAAAAUGGAUAAACUCUCUAUCCCAAGUAUGCUAUGUAUGUAUGGUUCCCGGUGUUUAUCACACAAUGAUCCAAGAUGAUCAAGUAUGAUACCAUAUGAUAUAUUUUAAUGCUAUGGCUAUUGCUUACAAGCUUCUUUGCUCUCUUUAUUUUGCUUAAAAGCUUUAUUUCUUUUUUUGUAUGGCCACUUUUGUACAAUGCACAAACCAAGAUAGCAAUUGUGUAUAUGCGGGAACAAACGUGUGACACAAGCUAUGAUAUGAUGAUACCAAUAUGAUAUGGUAUGUAUGCUAUGGGAAGUAUGAUCACUAAUGUGCACAAGUAACGUUGCCAGCAAUACUCAAAUGGCUAGUCUCGAUAGGCAAGUAACGCAAAAUGGGCUAGGGGUUAACAAUGCAAUUGCAAGGGUAAUAUACAAUGGUGUCGUCGAGGUUACCGUCCUUGGCGAUGAUGAGAUGCGGUGUUGCUGAUGUCGACCCNNNNNNNNNNNNNNNNNNNNNNNNNNNNNNNNNNNNNNNNNNNNNNNNNNNNNNNNNNNNNNNNNNNNNNNNNNNNNNNNNNNNNNNNNNNNNNNNNNNNGGAUCUUUGCAUCUUUGUUCUUUUUACCCCGGCUGCCCAUGCUUUGCUGCAUCAUGUUGUAAUCUUCAAAUAUACAAUUCGUGUUGUAAUAUAAGUAGGAGUGCUAACUAAAAGCACUGAAAUCAAGUGACGUGACGGCGGUGCUGUGUUGCGAUAAAGAUGGGCCGGGAGAGUAUAGUGUCGUGGUUUCCAUCGGUGUUGUGUACCUGGAUGGCCACAUCAGGCAGAUUUAAAGGCCGCCUAUAAGGAGAUGGACGAGGCGGUAGAUGAGGUGUUCGGCAAGAGCGAGGACGGAGAUGAGGUGGCCAGCUCGGCUGCGCCCUGCCGCCACGAUCACGAAGCCGGCAUGUCCACAAGCGCCGCCGAUAGCAAUGAAGAGUAGCGCAUGGGAGGUCACCGGCGCUAGUAUCCCAUGAAGGCCAAUGCUCCUCCCCUUCCAUUGAAGCCAAGCUUUGUGGCCUCAACAUCGUCGGCCGAUUAGCCGCUUGGCAGCAACGUGGAGACAGAUAGCUUCAAUUCCCGACGCUCAUGGCUGCGGAGGAGGCGGAGGUUCGUUUUUCGGGGCUCGUGAACGGUUGCGAAUGGGCAACGGGCGCUGGCGGUCAUUUCAGGGUAGGUUUAGAGUCUGGUCUAGUUGAAAUAUGUCUAAUAUAAUGAAUUUGCUCCGGUUUAGAUGAAAGGAUCCGGUUUACAUCAAAAUUAUCCAGGUGUGAAUGAAUAUUGUCCGGUGCGUCCAAGUAUGCGUAAAAUUUGUUCAUUUUCGUUAAAAUUCUUCCAAAAUGUAACCGGACAUAUGCAGACAGCUUUGGUUGGCCACCUCCCGCAUCCAUGUCUGCGGACUGGUCCCCCGUCUAUCGACAAAUGCGGUGUCUAAAAUGGACACACUAUCCAUCUGCGGACCGCAUCCAAGGAAAGGAUAUGGGAGCCGGUCGUCCAACCAUGUCCCUCAAAUAGGCAUCAAAUCCGGACAUCAGAGAAGGGCCAGGCGGAACCGUGGUUUUAAAAAACCAGACCGAACAGGCGGUCGAACCAGAUAAAACCAUAAUCGGCCCACCAUUUGUUUUUUUAAGCUCCACAGAUCGUUCCGCGAUUAGAAAGGUGAAAUCGAGUGAAACCAGAUAGUUUUUCUGAAAACCCGGUUUUCAAAAACGGGCAGUUCAACUAGAGAAAUGGUUAUCCUAAUUUAGAAGAAGCGGGUCUCAAACCCAGGUCGUCGUAGCUAACCUUAGCCCAAUUAAGGAUAGUAAAACUGAACCACUUCCCAGUUCUCUCACGCCCUUUGCGAUUUUGGCCGUCAGAUCUCGUGUUUCAACCGUUUCCAGCCGUCUGAUUGCUGCCUCAUCCCGUAAUAAUCGCUACGUGGGCUAGCUGUCCUGAGGGUGUCUACUCCCGUGGAAAAUUCGGUGCACUGUGGUUAACUGGGCCUCCCUCCCGCACAAAGCCCAUCUAGCACCAUUCAAUCUGCAGCGCCCGUACACCUGUCGGUCACUCCAAAAAAAUGUUCCUGUCGAUCUCUCAUCUCCCGAGUCCUCGACCUAGGUUUCGAUGAGCCGCCGCCACCGCCGCCGUCAUCACCGACACCGCCGUAGACUGCGUCCUGGUCUGGCUUCUUAGCCCUUGUUCGCCGCACGACCCGGCAGCGUGUCCUCGCUUCUCCCUCCUCUGGUCCUCCUUCCUCCACAUCCAGCGGCGCCUCCUCCCUAUUCGCCCACAGCCUCCUGUACCUCAUCGCCGUCCGCCGGCUGCUCGCCCACCGCAUCCUCGCCCAGCACCUCGUGUAGCCAUAUCCCGGAGCUGGAAGACGCCACCCGAUGCCGGCGCACUUAUAGCAGCCACGGCGGCUGGCCAUGAGGAGGAGGAGGAAACCCUCGGCCACGGAUUCGAGCGCUUCGAUGCUGCCAUAGCCGUGGCCUCCGAGCCGAGCUCCUCAUGUGGGACUGCACUCAGAUUGACCUUGCUGCAACCGUCUCUUUAGGGGAACAGGUACAUGCUCAUGAUUUUUUUUAUCCCCUCCUCUCGCCAAUCCCUCUCCCAAAACUCACUUUUAUUAGUGAUUCGGCGUUGAUCUACAGUCGAUAUAUAUAUCAAAGGUGAUUUUCUUCUAAUAAUUGUGCAGUUCUGUUAAGGAAAGGAAAAUAAAAGGAAUAAGCUGCAGUAAAAUUUUGGUGAAGAACUUUUUUGCCUUACCUUGUGAACAUGUUGGUCCUCAGAUUUUGAUUAUUGAUGAUUUGUGGUUCAUACAUGUUUUCUAUAUUCGAUCACUUCAUUUGUUCACAUACUACUUGAUGUUGCAUGCUCUACAGUCAAAUCACCACUUAGGAAGAAGAGGCCGGUGAACGCGCUCAUGGACCAGCUUGGCCUGCAGGACCCAGCCAAUACUGUGUCAAGUGUUGGUGCGUGGUCGCAUGGACACCAUCGACACACAUAGGAACGGUUCGGUUCAGCAGCUGCAAAGCACAUCCAGCAGGUGCGACCUCCAUGCUCGGGUAACAACAACGAUCAGCAUGGUACACCGACAAUCCGCUUCUACUCACCUUGCCUUUGCCCCCUUGCUACAGUUCCAUGCUUUGAUAAUGCAUUAAUACAGCCAUGCAGGUAAAACAAAUAGGAAAAUUGACGUUGCUCUCCACACGGAAGCCUACAAUCAUGAACUUCUCCAGUUUUGCAAAGUUUGGAGAUGAUUGAAAUCUGCAUGCAUAGAAGCAUUUGAAGUAAAUCAGGUUUGAAUGGUAGGUACCAUAUGGUAGGAAAUAUGUUAGGUAUGGUGGUCUUCAUGAGAUGCAUAUUUCAUCAUAAGCUGCCCUGAAAGAGGUAAUAUGUAGUCUCAAGUAAGANNNNNNNNNNNNNNNNNNNNNNNNNNNNNNNNNNNNNNNNNNNNNNNNNNNNNNNNNNNNNNNNNNNNNNNNNNNNNNNNNNNNNNNNNNNNNNNNNNNNUUAUCCUUGAUGGCAACAAUACAAUACGUGCCUUGCAACCCUUUCUGUCACUGGGUAAGGACACCGCAAGAUUGAACCCAAAGCUAAGCACUUCUCCCAUGGCAAGAAAGAUCAAUCUAGUAGGCCAAACCAAACUGAUAAUUUGAAGAGACUUGCAAAGAUAACUCAAUCAUACAUAAAAGAAUUCAGAGAAGAUUCAAAUAUUAUUCAUAGAUAAACUUGAUCAUAAACCCACAACUCAUCGGAUCUUGACAAACACACCGCAAAAAGCUAUUACAUCGAAUAGAUCUCCACAAGAGAGGGGGGGAACAUUGUAUUGAGAUCCAAAAAGAGAGAAGAAGCCAUCUAGCUAAUAACUAUGGACCCAUAGGUCUGUGGUAAACUACUCACAACUCAUCGGAAGGGCUAUGGUAUUGAUGUAGAAGCCCUCCGUGGUCGAUUCCCCGCCGGCAGAACGCCGGCGAAGGCUCCAAGAUGGGAUCUCGCGGAUACAGAAGGUUAUGGCGGUGAAAAUUGUGUUUCGGGUGCUCCCUGGAUGUUUUCGAGGUAUGUAGGCUUAUAUAGGAGGAAGAAGUAUGUAGGUGGCCGCCCGAGGGGCCCACGAGACAGGGGGUGCACCCUACAGGGGGGCGUGCCCUCCUAUCUCGUGGCCGCCUCGGCUGCUUCUUGACUUGCACUCCAAGUCCUCUGGAUCACGUUCAUUCAAAAAAUCACACCUCCGGAGGUUUCGUUCCAUUUGGACUCCGUUUGAUAUUCCUUUUCUUCGAAAUACUGAAAUAGGCAAAAAACAGCAAUACGGGUUGGGCCUCCGGUUAGUAGGUUAGUCCCAAAAAUGAUAUAAAUGUGUAAAAUAAAGCCCAUAAACAUCCAAAAGGGGUAAUAUAAUAGCAUGGAACAAUCAAAAAGUAUAGAUACAUUGGAGACGUAUCACCCACCCUUACUUGGCACGCCCCCUGCCUCGUGGGCACCUCGUGUGCCUCCUGGACUCUGUUUUCUUGCACGUUACUUCUUUUGGUCGAUAAAAAUUCAUUAUAUAAUCUCUUGAAGGUUUUGACCAACGUAUCACGCAAAAAUCCUUUGUUUCGAGCUAUUUUUUCUGGCAGAUCUAGAGCAUCAAAACGUCACCCUCCUCCAACAAUGAAGACAAGGAUGCUUGGCUAUUGAAGAUAGAGCUGAAAAGAGAAGAACCGGAGGAGAUCAACAUGGAUGAAGGGAUCAAGAAGGCCAUGGAGGAUCAAGCUCCGGCAGCGAAAGAAGAAAACAUCCCUCAACCUUUACAUAACCUCUUUACCCCAACUGAGAUUGAUGCUUUCAAGAUGAUUGCGUUAGCUCGCAUACAAAACAAGCAUCAAACAUAGGAAAAUAUUUUGUUGAAGGAUCAUAUCGUCGCACUCAAGGGCGUUAUCCGCAAGUUGGAGGAGCUUUUACGCUCGAUGUGCGAUUAUCCACCAUCAUCAUCACCGCCUUCAUCACCUCCGAGGACAUAAUCACAUGGGUAUGGGCACUCCCCUUGGCAACUGCCAAGCUUGGGGGAGGUGCCCCGGUAUCGUAUCACCAUCACACUCCUAUCCUUACUGUUUUACUUAGUUCGAUCCCUUUGGUAAUAUCUAGAUCUAGUAGAAUAAAGUUUUGGUUUGAAUUAGUUUUAUGGUUUGCUUUGUGAUCCUUCUAUGUAAUCGAGUCCGUGAGCUAUAUAAUAAAGAUUAGUGUGAGUCAAGGGCUUUGCUAUCCUGCUAUGAUCUUGAGAAAAUAGAAAGAAUAAAAAGAAUAAAAGAGUUCAUAUUGAUCUUAUGGAUAGUAAUGACUUCACAUAUAAGAGUAUGAGGCAUAAAAGUUAUUGAGAGUUGACAAACAUAGUUUUGGUCAUCGUUGCAAUUAAUAGGAAGUAAUAAAGAAAGAGAGGUUUUCACAUAUAAAUAUACUAUCUUGGACAUCUUUUAUGAUUGCGAGCACUCAUUAAAGUAUGACAUGCUAAAGAGUUGAUGUUGGACAAGGAAGACGACGUAAUGGGUUAUGUUUUCUCACAUCUUAGUUAAAGUAUAUUGUCAUGAUCGUCCAACAUGUUGAGCUUGCCUUUCCCCAUCAUGCUAGCCAAAUUCCUUGCACCAACUAGAGAUACUACUUGUGCUCCCAAAUAUCCUUAAACCCAGUUUUGCCAUGAGAGUCCACCGUACCUACCUAUGGAUUGAGUAAGAUCCUUCAAGUAAGUUGUCAUGUUGCAAGCAAUAAAAAUUGCUCUCUUAAUAUGUAUGACUUAUUAGUGCAAAGAAAAUAAGCUUUAUACGAUCGUGUGAUAUGGAAGUAAUAAAAGCGAGGGACUGCAUAAUAAAGGUUCAUAUCACAAGUGGCAAUAUAAAGUGACGUUCUUUUGCAUUAAGAUUUUGUGCAUCCAACCCUAAAAGAACAUGACAACCUCUGCUUCCCUCUGCGAAGGGCCUAUCUUUUACUUUAUGUCUUUUACUUUUUGCAAGAGUCAAGGUGAUCUUCACCUUUCCCUUUUUCAUUUUAUCCUUUGCCAAGCACCUCGUGUUGGAAAGAUCCUGAUAUAUAUAUAUAUAUAUAUAUAUAUAUAUAUAUAUAUAUAUAUAUAUNNNNNNNNNNNNNNNNNNNNNNNNNNNNNNNNNNNNNNNNNNNNNNNNNNNNNNNNNNNNNNNNNNNNNNNNNNNNNNNNNNNNNNNNNNNNNNNNNNNNUCCAUCACGUCAUUCUCCUAAUGAUGUGAUCAUGUUAUCAAAUGACAACAUAUGUCCAUGGUUAGGAAACCUUAACCAUCUUUGAUCAAUGAGCUAGUCAAGUAGAGGCCUACUAGGGACACGGUGUUUUGUCUAUGUAUUCACACAUGUAUCAAGUUUCUGAUUAAUACAAUUCUAGCAUGAAUAAUAAUCAUUUAUCAUGAAUAAGGAAAUAUAAAAUAACAACUUUAUUAUUGCCUCUAGGGCAUAUUUCCUUCAGGAGGAAGGAGGAGGAGCCGACUUGGGGAGGGUAUCCCCUUGGCCAAGGUAGAUGAGUCCCUCUCCAACUCCAAUUCAGCCCCCAAGCUUGUCCUACAACCUUGUUGGGUCCAUACAGCCCAUUAACAUUCCCCUAUGAGGCCUUUAGCAAAUUAUAUUGGCACAUAGCCCCUAAAUAAAUACUAGGGGGCUCCAGGUAAUUACGGGGGCCUUCCAAUUUUUGGUAUGCACUCAUUCAAUAUUCGCCUCCAUCCAUCAAUUUGGACGUGUCCAUCUGGUAAAGCUACAGUCGAGUUUGUGCCUUUGAAAUUGGUCUUCUCAUGGCAAAUAAUUGUCAUCUCACCUUGUACAUCCAUCACCACAAGCAUAACACAUAUUGGCAGCUUCUGUUCAAGAACAUAAUAGUAACAUAGUAAGCACUGUACUUUAUUCAAGAAGAAUAUAUGAAAAAUAUGGACUAGUGGCACAAUAUUGAAAAAUCUUACCAUGCAUUUUCUAUGAAUGUUGGUACUGCUCAAGGUGUGGACUAGUGGAACCUAUCGUGUAUCAUUACGACCAGCUCUGUAAGUGCCCUUAAGCGACUGAACAUCAUUAACAAAGGAGACAAGGUAAUUCUUCUCCUUCCAGAUAAUAACAGUAUCACAAAGAGGUUAGGGGUGAAUAACUAGUAUUUUAAAUAAUUAAGAUAGAUUAUUUGAAAAAAUUGUUUAAGAAACUCACACAGAGGAAGAAUUGGAAUCAUGUCAAAAUCCACUCAAAUGUCUUGAUCAUUUCAAGGAAAGCUGCCAAUAUCAAAGGUUAUAUUCAUACCAGGCUUAAAUCCGUGGCCAAUCCUCUCCAAUUAGGACAAAAGUAUGUGUGGUCUACGUGAUUCUAGAUUGUAGCUUGGAAAAUGAACCAUGUUUGCUUUUGAGGUAGCAGUCCUCUCAGCCACCUCAUCCAUCAAGUCUCCUAAAUGGAGCUUACCAAGGACAAAAGGCUUGCAUAAGAGGGGAUGCACUAGUUGAAUUAUAAAAACAGAAAUUACAUGUUAAUGUAAGCCUUAAGGCAUGCUUAAUUAAGAAGGAAAUAUGUGCAAAAAUUAUUAAAACAAAUUACCAUAUAAUAUUUGUAGCCCUCUUUAAGCGUGAAUUCCGUAGGCCUGGGAUGGUUUCUCCUGCUGAAUCAAACCGGUCUGAGAAGUUUCACUUCGCGGUCACACGCUCAGUGUAAUUAUCGACAACUCCCACUUCUCAGUUUUCGUGGAGCCGGAGGUUUCCAACUCCAUGACUCCACGAAAUUUGCACGCACAGAAUCCCCAGCAUCUCCUCCAUAAAGCCAGGAGUUGGAGAGGUCGAGUGAGAUCUGGAUCAGGAAUUGAUGGAGUUGAGAGUUGGAGGGCUCCCGAACAGGCCGGUAGCAUGACAUUUUUUGUGAAUUAGACCAUGGCAUUUUCAUCUUAUGUAGCAUGCCAUUUUUUUAUUAAUUUAGACCAUAGCAUUUUUACCACAUAUAUCAUGGCAUUUUUAAUAAUUAGACCAGGGCAUUAUCUUAUGUAGCAUGGCAUUUCUAUUAUUCAUACCAUGGCAUUUUUAUUAUAAUUAGACCAUUGUUCAAGAAAUCAUCUGAUUCAGCGAUUUAUCGUUCGAUUUAUCGCUUCUCGGGGGGUGACCGAUAAGAUUAUGCCUUAUCUUCAUCGUUUAUCGUUUGGGCCGAUUUGUCGCUCUGAGAAGCGAUGUAUCAGGAAUCUACCGAGAAAUCGUUCCUAUUCCUAGCACUAUGGUUAUCUUAAAGAGCAUGGCACCUUUUUGUAGAGCAUGGCAUUUGUUUCAUAGAGCAUGGUACUUCUAUUUUAAAAGUAUGGUAUUUUUUUNNNNNNNNNNNNNNNNNNNNNNNNNNNNNNNNNNNNNNNNNNNNNNNNNNNNNNNNNNNNNNNNNNNNNNNNNNNNNNNNNNNNNNNNNNNNNNNNNNNNGCGCUGGCCCCACAGUGGGCGCCAACUGUCAUGGAAUUGUCACGUCAGAUGUCCUCGUGAAAGGACUUAGUUGUGGAGCCAUCGCAACUAGGAAGCUUGAAGGGGUUAAUCGAGACAAGGGACACGAGAGGUUUUAUACUAGUUCGGCCCCUUACGGUGAAGGUAAGGCCUACGUCUAGUUGGGUUGGUAUUGAUGUUUCGAUGACCACGGAGCGAGAUACGCUAUGCCCGGCUCUCGAUGAGUUGAUUCUUCCCUCAGCCGCCAGCAGGUCGUCCCCUUAUAUACACGGGUUGACGCCCUACGGCUUACAGAGUCCCGGCCGGCUUAUAAACAGUGUCCAACUCGGUGACUAGUUAAGUCUACCUUAUGAUACAAGUCAUAUUAUUAUGGCGGUUUAUUACAACGGGCCUUAAGUCGCCUGUGGGCCUUAAGCCCUCUAUGAACCGCCAUGUUCAUGCUUUGGUCUUGGGCUUCUUUCUGGUAAGUCUUCUUUGCGUAACCCGGCCCCUCCUGGGCGGCUUACACAAAUAGUUAUAUCCCCAACAUAAACCCCAAAAAACCUUUUGUUCCUUCAGCUCUUUUCUAAAGAAAUUAUUAUGCUCAAAUUGCAAAUUCAUAAAGCUUCUAAUAUUUGAUUCAAUCUCUUCCAGCCUUCUGAGAAGGUGGUCAGAACCCUUAGGCGAAACCAUAAGGUCAAACAAGCACACAAGCAAACAAAAAAGGCAAGCGGAAAGAGAGGAGGAGAUUGGGAAAGAGAGGGCGAAUAAAACGGCAAAGGUGAAGUGGGGGAGAGGAAAACGAUAGCAAAUGGAAAAUAAUAUAAAUGCGAGGGAGAUGAGUUUGUGAUGGGUACUUGGUAUGUCUUGACUUGAAUGAAGACCUCCCCGGCAACGGCGCCAGAAAUCCUUCUUGCUACGUCUUGAGCUUGCGUUGGUUUUCCUUGAAGAGGAAAGCGUGAUGCAGCAGAGUAGCAUAAGUAUUUCCCUCAGUUUUUGAGAACCAAGGUAUCAAUCCAGUAGGAGGAUCCUCAAAAGUCCCGCGCACCUACACAAACAAACAAAGAACUCGCAACCAACGCAAUAAAGGGGUUGUCAAUCCCUUCACGGCCACUUGCGAAAGUGAGAUCUAAUAGAGAUAGUAUGAUAAGAUAAAUAUAUUUUGGUAUUUUAUAAUAUAGAUGCAAAAAGUAAAGAUGCAAAUAAAAGUAGAUUGAAAGCAAAUAUGAUAAGAGAUAGACCCGGGGGCCAUAGGUUUCACUAGAGGCUUCUCUCGAGAUAGCAUAAGUAUUACGGUGGGUGAACAAAUUACUGUCGAGCAAUUGAUAGAAAAGCGAAUAAUUAUGAGAUUAUCUAGGCAUGAUCAUGUAUAUAGGCAUCACGUCCGCAACAAGUAGACCAACUCCUGCCUGCAUCUACUACUACUUCUCCACACAUAGACCGACUCCUGCCUGCAUCUAGAGUAUUAAGUUCAUAAGAACAGAGUAACGCCUUAAGCAAGAUGACAUGAUGUAGAGGGAUAAACUCAUGCAAUAUGAUAUAAACCCCAUCUUUUUAUCCUUGAUGGCAACAAUACAAUACGUGCCUUGCAACCCUUUCUGUCACUGGGUAAGGACACCGCAAGAUUGAACCCAAAGCUAAGCACUUCUCCCAUGGCAAGAAAGAUCAAUCUAGUAGGCCAAACCAAACUGAUAAUUNNNNNNNNNNNNNNNNNNNNNNNNNNNNNNNNNNNNNNNNNNNNNNNNNNNNNNNNNNNNNNNNNNNNNNNNNNNNNNNNNNNNNNNNNNNNNNNNNNNNUAAAUGCUUAGUUUGAACUAGUUGAAUUAAUAUAACUAGUUUAUUUUUAGUAAAUAUUUAGUUGAACUAGUUGAAUUAAUAUAUAGAACUAGUUUAUUUUUAGUAAAUACUUAGUUGAACUAAUUGAAUUAAUAUAACUAGUUUAUUUUUAGUAAAUUCUUAGUUGAAUUAAUAGAAGUAGUUGAAUUAAUUGAAUUAGUAAGUGUUUAAUGUUUGGCCUAAUAUGAACAUAGGAAAAUGUCGUCUGACGACGGAAAAAAUUUCAUUAUGUGCGAAUUCUGUGAAGACCAGCGCGGCCAGUGCGACAGAAAUUUCCUUGUUGAUGGUAGGCGAUUCAGCAUCAAGCUGGAUGAGACUUUCGAAUUUGAUACAGUAAGUCACAACGACAAGUCUGUUUUCGUAAUUAAGCAUGACUUAUGUAUGCUUCAUUUGCCCGACUUAUAAUUUUUAAUUUUCACUAUUCUAUUAGCGCAUCCCCUGCCAUGCAAGAAUUUUUGUCUUGGAUAAGAUAGGUUUCAAAGAUAUGGAAACUAUGGAGGUAAAGAGAGCUUACCUGAAAACUAAGCAUGAUGGUUAUACUUUCAACGUCAAAGUAUACAAUACACACACGUACACCUAUUUUGAAUGCAAAACUUGGCAAGCACUAUGCAAGGCUUAUGCAUUUGAGCCUGGUAUGGUUAUCACCUUUGAUAUUCGUCCGGAAGAUGAUAUUGAAGGUAAUAGAGACAUAUGGGUCGAUGUGCAGACGCCUCCAGUUCUACCAUUAUGUGAGUUCUUCUCAACUAUAUUUUUGUCUUUCAUAUUGCUUAUUCAAAAAUAACUGACAACUAAUUUCUAUUGACAGCUUAUCUCCAUUCAACCAAACAUGUCCAGCGCUUGGUAGACAGGACCUACUACUAUCCCGGAGCUGAAGUAAACUGCAAGGAGAUAAGUCUUUAUGUUUCAUCGCUUGAGGAUCUUCAUACUGUUAAGACAAAUUUUCUUCCUGCACUUAGAAAUGUUAGUACUCAAAACGUGCGAUCAAUAGUGAUGGUAUUGAACUACGGUCACAUCUAUUUAGGAAUGAUGGUAAGAUAUUUACUAUUUGUCCUCAGUGCAUAUUUUGCAUACAUAAUUUUUUUGCUAAACUUUCAUUGCUAAGUAUAUUAAUUAAGUACUAUACGAUGUUCUUCAACAGGGACUCCCGAUGACAGUUGUGCCUCAGGGGAUCGAGACUAAAGGUCAGAUGUCCAUUGUUAGCUUACGGCCAAGAUAUCCUGCAUUGCACAUGAAUGCAUUCAGGAUUUCUUGAAGCGAUGAAUGCUUAAUACUGAAAGAUUGGAGGAGAAUUGUUAAUGAUUGCAGAGAAGUACUAGGGGGCAGCAAUGAGAAGCGCAGCCCAUGAUUAGGAGAUAGGUUCAUCUGCAUGCUCCAGUAUGAUCAAUCAGGAGAGCUAUACAUGUUCUAUACUAUUUUACCAGAGAGAGAGUAGCUAGCAGGAGUGAUUUAGCUAGUUCCUCAUGCUGCUCUUAAUUAGUACUUGUCCUUUCAUGUCCGUGUUCUUCGUUCUGAACUUAUGUGAUUUGCUUUUGUGGUGUUAUAUAUGAAUGCUUCUUCUUUAAGUGAAUGUUUCUGGUACAAUCAUGCAUGUUGAACUCGAUGAUAUUUUGCUUCUGGUACAAGUGAAUGUUUCUUCUUUAAGCUAGUGCUGGUGAUGAUAUUUUUCCUACGUUACCUAAGUGAUCAAGUAUAUGCCAUAUCCGUAUAUAUUAUAGGUUGAUCAAGUAUAAUAUGGAUAUGGCAUAUACUUGAUCUCACUUAAUGCAUCCAGUCCAAAACUAAUCCGCGGUACUUUCACCUAAUGAUUUAACAACUCAUUAUAAUGUAAAACAAUCACUAAAUUAAAUUGAAAACACAAAAUUAAAGAAAAAAUAAAAAAACACCCAAACAUUUAGUACCGGUUGGUGUUACCAACCGGUACUAAAUCCCUACACGCAAACGGGCCUGGCUCGUGCCACGUGGUGGCACUUUAGCGCCGGUUCAUGACGAACCGGUACUAAAGGGAGGGGACCUUUAGUCCCCACUCUUUAGUGCCGGUUGGCGAACCGGCACUAAAGCCCGUCACGAACCGGCACUAAAGGUCGGUUCUGUACUAGUGGCACUACAGCCUUUCUGAUAAGUAUAUGUGAGUGACAUACUGUUGAUCGGAAAUAAUGUAGAAUUAUUCUGCAAAGCAUAAAGGAGUAUUUGAAAGGAGUUUUUCAAAGAAGGACCUCGGUGAAGCUGCUUACAUAUUGAGCAUCAAGAUCUAUAGAGAUAGAUCAAGACGCUUGAUAAAGUUUUUUCAAUAAGUACAUACCUUGACAAAAAAAUUCAAGUAGUUCAAAAUGGAACAGUCAAAGAAAGAGUUUUUUGCCUGUGUUACAAGGUGUGAAAUUGAGUAAGACUCAAAGCCCGACCACAGCAGAAGAUAGAAAGAGAAUGAAAGUCAUUCCCUAUGCCUCAGCCAUAUGUUCUAUAAAGUAUGACACGCUAUGUACCAGAUCUAUUGCAUACCCUACCAUUGAGUUUGGUAAGGGAGUACAAUAGUGAUCUAGGAGUAGAUCACUAGACAGCGGUCAAAAUUAUCCUUAGUGGAAUAAGGAUAUGUUUCUCGAUUAUGGAAGUGACAAAAAGGUUCGUCGUAAAGGGUUACGUCGAUGCAAGUUUUGACACUAAUCUAGAUGACUCUAAGUCUCGGUCUAGAUACAUAUUGAAAAUGGGAGCAAUUAGCUAGAGUAGCUCCGUGCGGAGCAUUGUAGACAUAGAAAUUUGCAAAAUACUUACGGAUCUGAAUGUGACAGACCCGUUGACUAAAAUUAUCUCACAAUCACACCUUAGUACUCUUUGGGCGUUAAUCACAUAGCGAUGUGAACUAGAUUACUGACUCUAGUAAACCCUUUGGGUGUUGGUCACAUGUUGAUGUGAACUAUGGGUGUUAACAACAUAAAUAUGUGAACUGUUGAUGUUAAAUCACAUGGCAAUGUGAACUAGAUUAUUGACUCUAGUGCAAGUGGGAGACUGAAGGAAAUAUGCCCUAGAGGCAAUAAUAAAGUUAUUAUUUAUUUCCUUAUAUCAUGAUAAAUGUUUAUUAUUGAUGCUAGAAUUGUAUUAACCGGAAACAUAAUACAUGUGUGAAUACAUAGACAAACAGAGUGUCACUAGUAUGCCUCUACUUGACUAGCUCGUUGAUCAAAGAUGGUUAUGUUUCCUAGCCAUUGACAUGGGUUGUCAUUUGAUUAACGGGAUCACAACAUUAGGAGAAUGAUGUGAUUGACAUGACCCAUUCCGCUAGCUUAGCACCCGGUCAUUUAGUAUGUUGCUAUUGCUUUCUUCAUGACUUAUACAUGUUCCUAUGACUAUGAGAUUAUGCAACUCCCGUUUACCGGAGGAACACUUUGUGUGCUACCAAACGUCACAACGUAACUGGGUGAUUAUAAAGGUGCUCUACAGGUGUCUCUGAAGGUACAUGUUGGGUUGGCGUAUUUCGAGAUUAGGAUUUGUCACUCCGAUUGUCGGAGAGGUAUCUCUGGGCCCUCUCGGUAACACACAUCACUUAAGCCUUGCAAGCAUUGCAACUAAUGAGUUAGUUGCGGGAUGCUGUAUUACGGAACGAGUAAAGAGACUUGCCGGUAACGAGAUUGAACUAGGUAUUGAGAUACCGACGAUCGAAUCUCGGGCAAGUAACAUACCGAUGACAAAGGGAACAACGUAUGUUGUUAUGCGGUCUGACCGAUAAAGAUCUUCGUAGAAUAUGUGGGAGCCAAUAUGAGCAUCUAGGUUCCGCUAUUGGUUAUUGACCGGAGACGUGUCUCGGUCAUGUCUACAUAGUUCUCAAACCCGUAGGGUCCGCACGCUUAACGUUACGAUGACAAUUAUAUUAUGAGUUUAUAUGUUUUGAUGUACCGAAGGUUGUUCAGUGUCCCGGAUGUGAUCACGGACAUGACGAGGAGUCUCGAAUUGGUCGAGACAUGAAGAUUGAUAUAUUGGAAGCCUAUGUUUGGAUAUCGGAAGUGUUCCGGGUGAAAUCGGGAUUUUACCGGAGUACCGGGAGGUUACCGGAACCCCCCGGCAACUUAAUGGGCCUUAGUGGGCCUAGGUGGAAGAGAGGAGAGGCGGCUAGGGCUGGGCCGCCCCCCCCCCCCAGUCCGAAUAGGACAAGGAGAGCGGGGCGGCGCGCCCCCCCUUCCUUCUUCUCCUCCACUCUUUCCCCAUCCCAAGUCCUAAUCCAACUAGGAAAAGGGGGGAGUCCUACUCCCGGUGGGAGUAGGACUCCUCCCGGUGCGCCCUCUCCCUGGCUGGCCGCACCCCCCCGUGCUCCUUUAUAUACGGGGGCAGGGGGGCACCCUAGAGACACAACAAUUGAUCGUUUGAUCUUUUAGCCGUGUGCGGUGCCCCCCUCCACCAUAGUCCACACCUCCAUAAUACUGUAGCGGUGCUUAGGCGAAGCCCUGCGUCGGUAGAACAUCAACAUCGUCACCAUGCCGUCAUGCUGACGAAACUCUCCCUCAAGACUCGGCUGGAUCGGAGUUCGAGGGACGUCAUCGGGCUGAACGUGUGCUGAACUCGGAGGUGCCGUACGUUCGGUACUUGAUGGGUCGGAUCGUGAAGACGUACGACUACAUCAACCGCGUUGUGCUAACGGUUCCGCUUUCGGUCUACGAGGGUACGUGGACAACACUCUCCCAUCUCGUUGCUAUGCAUCACCAUGAUCUUGCGUGUGCGUAGGAAAUUUUUUGAAAUUACUACGUUCCCCAACACGUUGUGCCUGCCAUGGCCGGUCCCAACAUCCUGGAAACCCCCUGGGUGGUGACAUGGCUGUCAGAUAUGUGUUUAAUACGGUUUAGGAGCAACAUCUAGGUUUGCAACUAGGCCACUAUUCCAAUAAUCCCAUCUGAACAACUAGUGUGUUGCAAACCAACGAAGCAUGAGGCAACAACAUCUAUAUCCUGGCAGAGGCGACCGAGAGGCACGUGCCAAUCGACACGUCGUCAUCAUCGUCGGCGAGCAAUCUCUCUGUCACCAUGCCUCCCCCACUCAUCAGACCGGCUGCGUGCCUCUUUCUUUGUCACCCUCUCCUCAGUCGCCGUCCGCCUCCACCACCAUGGCACCACCGCGGAGCGCUCGGCACGGCUACCGCUGACCUCCUCCACGCCGUCCCCAACCAUCACUGGCCACAUCCCCAGUGUUGCAAAGAUGCGGGUGCGCUGAGCUCGCCGGAUUAAAACGUCACCGAUGUUGUAGAGGCGUGGGCUUGCUAGCUCGCUCAUAGGAUUGCAACAUCACUAGUGUUUCUGAAACAUGGCAUAUGUUGUAGAGGCGCGGGUCUGCGAGCUCACAUGAUUUGUUGCAGCCGCAACAGAGUGUGUGUUUCAGAACAAAAAUAGCGGUUCGGUAGUUUGCAACAAGGCCUUUGUUGCAAAGGAUUAAGCACAACACUUAGCUUGUUGCAAAUUGUUGGGCUUGCGUGAAGGGACAUUGGACGUUUCUUCUAUCUACAUCCAAAUGUUGGGAAGGCGGUCUAUCUAUUUAGAUCAUCACUCAGCCGACGCGUAGCGCUGCCCAUGAAUAAACAAAUGGUCCAUGGCAAUACCACACACGAAUGGUGUGGUAUCCAACCACCCAUCGAUCUAUCACAUACUAAAUCUUUCUUUAAUUGAUGUACUCAAGCACUGAUCACUCACCGGUUUUGGGACUAGUUCUAUAGCCAGAGCUUGUUGCGAUGGCAUGUUGGUCUUUAUGGUGGGAAAGUGGGCACAUUAGUCGUGAUAUUCAGGUGCAAAACAUUGAAAAUUCCGCAAUGGCAAUUCAAGUGUUGUGCUCAAAUUUCAGGUCUGUUGUGGUCCCUGAUCCAAGAGUGAGAAAACAGAUUUGGACUACACCAACAGGUGAUUGCGUUAAGAUAAACAUUGAUGCUUCAUUUGAUCUACUCCCUCCGUUUGGAAUUACUUGUCACCAAAAUGGAUGUAUCUAGAACUAAAAUACAUCUAAAUACAUUCAUUUCAAUGACGAGUAUUUCCGAACGGAGGGAGUAGAUUAUUUGAGGGGAACUACAGGUGAUGUUAUUAAAGAUAAAAAAAGGGAAGUUUAUCACCGCAAGUAAUGUACAGUUGGAUUUGGUUCAAGAUGUUUUUCCGGCUGAGGUUUUGGCUCUCAAGAAUGGAUUGCUCUUAGAGGAAUCCAUGGGUUGUAAUAGAGUUAUUGUGAGCUCUGACAGUAUAGAAUUAAUAGAAGUUAUGAAGAAUGAGAGGCCACGGAUAUUGCUGCAGCAAUCUUUCAUGAUUGUUUUUCCAUGGAGCAUGAAUUUGUUAAGGUUAAGUAUGAGCAUGCCAUUAGGGGAAACAAGUUCCAAGUAUGUAGGGUCUGGCUUGAUGAUCGUCACUCCCUAUUGUACCUGUCAUGGUGAACGACGUAACAUUAUUAUCUAAUGAAUAAAAAUGUUAUUUUGAGGUUAAAAAUCCUGCUUUAAUUCCUCCACCUUGAGAGUACUAUCUAGGCACUUUCUUGGUGCCCCACGUCAAGUCGUCGGCACAAUGCUACACAGGAAAUACAGAACAGAGAUAAGGCGGCUAACCAGGCACCAGCAACCCCUGUCACAACUCACAAGCCUCUAACUGUCAUUUCAUCUCUUUCUUAUUUGAUAAAAGGGGCAUCGCUCUGAAAUCCAUUUCUGAAAUUGAUAAAACAAACAAGCCGAAUGUAUGAUCCUGGGCAACAUCUAGGCCAGGGUUUGGCUGCGGCACAACCUGUUGGCUGCCCCACAACUGAACUACAACAACCAAACUACCAAAAGAAAAACAGAAAGAGCCAUGGAAACAAAAUAAAGAAAAUAGAAACUCCUCUCACUGUGGUUGCCACAAAAGCUUCUUAAACUGAACUGAACUACAACAACCAAACUACAAACAGACAGUAAACCAGCCAACACCACCCUCAUCUCAUUUUUCUAAAUCAUGCAGGAGGGGAGAACAGAAGAACAGUAGAAACAGUCGGGAAAAGAAAAGAAUGAAAAUAGAAACCUCUCACUGUCAUUGCGAACAAAGCUUCCUAAACUGAAGAUAGCCAUGCUGGCACCCUGAUCUCGCAAACGCUGACCACAGCUGUUGAUUGAUUUCCAGUAGCCAGCCACACGAUCGAUGUUACAUACAAACAGGAAGAACAACAUAGCAAUGAGCCAUAAGCACUGGGCAGUGAGUCCACUCCACUGUAGAUUAAAUCAUGUCCUCUUGCAGGCAAGGCGAUCUCAUCUGCGCGGAGUCAACGCAGCUGAAAUCACAACCGCCCGGAGUUCUGAGGAUGAGAAUGUUCAUCUGACUGACUAUGGCUCCAUCAAUUGACUCUCUGCAAGCAAGACAAGAAUUAAUCAGCCGAUACAGAAGGACUUUCAGCUCAGAUUUUGCAGAUUCAAUAGUUUAUGUAUGAGCAAAAUGGAAAAAAUUAUAGGGCGCAUAGUAUACACACAGGAAGAACUAUACAUGCAGAAGUAGAACAGCAUUGGUGUACCACCGACAAUAUUGUUUCUCAACUGAAUUUGGAACAGAUUAUAGGGGGAAUAGUAUACACAGAGGAAGAAAAACACAUGCAGAAGUAGAACAUCAUUGGUGUGCCACCGACAAUAUUGUUUCUGAACUGAAUUUGGAACAGAUUAUAGGGUUUAUAGUAUUGAACAGGCAGAACCAGAACAGCAUUGGUGUACCACCGGUAAUAUUGUUUCUCAACUGAAUUUGAAGUAUGCAACUACUAACUGCAAACGCUCAUUUAUCCCACUGGCAAUGUUGCUCUGAACUGAAUUUGAUAUGUGUAACUAACUGCAAACAUCACUUUUACAGGGAGCUACAGCAUAUAGUAUUACAGGCAGAAGCAGAAUAGCAUUCUUGUCCCACUGGCAAUAUUGUUCCUAGCUGAAUUUGACACAUGUAACUAACGGCAAACACUCACUUUUAUCUGUUUAGUGCCGUAACUUGAAACACAAGCUGUAAUAAUAUUCAGGCAGAUGCAAGUAAACAUAAAUAAAUGAGCUGAACAAACUUCAAUCUUAGUUUUUAGUGUCCAAAGAGAAAACUUCAAACUUACGUCACCCAAGGAAAACUAAUUAAGGGGGUCUUGGCAGCCACAAUCAACAAAAAUGUGUGCCUUCUACUGUCCUAGAGAGAUUAGAGCAGAGCAAGUUCACGGUUGGCCGCAGCAGAGCUCCCCAAUGGUCGAUUUGGAACAGUCCUGUCCAUCAAGCGUCUUGCGGCCUGAACAUGCACGAGGAAGCAGGGGGGGCACCGCCACCACUCGACUCCACUCACCAAGACUGCCACCAUGCCCACCGUCGACGACAAGCCGGAUAGCCCGGAAGAACCACCGUCUUCAGCUGCCCGCGGCCAUGAGAAUUAACAAAAUUGUCCCUUUUCUUGAAGUCCAGCAAAACACAAACCACCUCCAAAAGACCAAAACAUUAACCAAAACUAACCCUUUUCCCCGUGUUGACCUCGGCUAUGUCAGCACCACAUAUCUCAGUGUUGGAAAAUACUUAGCGUCAAGAUUCCAAUGUCAACGCCACAAACUAUGGCGAGCUAUUAGAGGUCAAUGGCACAGUCCAUGGCACUGACCCCAUGAGGGUCGCAAAAAUGAUGGAGCAAUGUUGAGAGAGGGUCAACUCCAUGGACUAUGCCGUUGAGCUCUAAAAGCUCCAUGCCACGGACCACGGCGUUGUUCCCGUGACACCCAUUUCGAUCGUGAAACACUAAUUUUUCUCCAACGCCGAGAUACAUGGCACUGACAUAGCCACACAGGCAGGUUCAAUGCCCGAGAGAUUGACAUUAACAAAAAUGAUUAGAUUAGGUAUAAGUUUGAGAGGUGGGUCAUUUUUCGCUAAACUUUGAAAAGAGUGUUCAUUUUGUCAUUUCUCACCCUACGGCCAGCGUCGCUGCCGCGCCGCCUCACCCUGCCCCAACCGCCGCUGCCCCAGCCAUCCCUCUAAGUCCUUCCGGGGUGUGUGUCUGUAUGUGUUUGUGUGAAUCGCAGGUGGCGGCAUCGCCUCCCUACCAACCUCCACGUCUUUUUCUUGCCCACGCCUCCCUGCCACCCAUGUCAUCGUCGCCACCCCGGCAUCCUCCGACAACUCAACACCGACGCCAUAAACACGAGGCCGCCUCCCCACCAAGCCACGAGCCUCCACCUCGACCCGGGUAAAGAAACGGCCGAGGCAACCACAGGAGAGCAACCAGCCCGCAGCAGGGGGGCCUAGUCAAACCCCAACACUGGCGGCCAGCCCGCGCCAUCGGCCCAUUGCCAACUAGCACUACCUCAAGGGGGGGGGGGAUUGCCCCGUCAGAUCUGGCAACUAGGAUCCAGGGGGACCCCAUGGCAUCCGGCACCUUCGGCCGCCAAUCACCCACCUUCGUCGGCUCCCCGCGGUUGAAGACUGUCACCGCCACCCUGCAUCGCCGGGCAGCGCCCCCACCACUGCGCCGCAUCCACCCCGCCCAGAAGCAUGGAGGAGGCGUCCCGCAGCCCGUGCCACCCGACAGCCGCCCAGAACGCCCAACAAGCCUCCCAAGGCAGUCUCCGGUCCGCACCGCAGCCGCCACCACCACGUCAUUGUUACCUUCAUUAAGUCGCCCGGAGGCCCCAGCCAACCGCAGCCCAAGCCAACUAGAGCCCUCGACACCGAGGCGCAGCAAGAUCUACCACCAAAUGCAGCCGGCCGCCACCCCCAGUCUGCACCACCGCCGCCGCCACCACGCCUCCCCUACCCCAGCAAGCAACAGGGAGGAGACGGGCGUGGGCCUUGCUGUCCGCAGCCCUGGCCAGCCGGCGCCAGAUCUGGCCGCGGGGACCCCCGCGCCACCGUGCAUCGACCAAGACCCGGAACGCCACCACCCGCCGCCAGGCACAGGAACAGCCGCUCCGCACGCCCACCAUCACGCCAUCGAGCCCCACAGCAGCCCAACGCCCCCGUCCGCCGUUCGACCCACGUUCUGCGCCGUAAGUGCCGAGGGGGGAGAGCGCCCCGCCACAACCUACGCCGGCCGGGCGCGCCUUGUGGCGGGGGAGGGAGGCCGGGAGGGGAGGGUCGAGCCGGGGUCACUAGGGUUUGCCCCCGAAGUCGCUCACGGGAGCGGCUUGGGGGGAGGAGCUUUUUUCGAGUAACUAUCUGCUGGUUUUGCAUGUGAGAUGGUAAAACUGGUAUGUUGUGCAUGGUGUCACAACAUACCAGUUUUACCAUCUCAGUGAAUCAUUAUUCUGCAAAAUUUCACGAGACAUGUAUUAUUAUAUUCCAUAGUUCAAGAGGUUAUUAGUGCAAAUAUAUACAUGAAUUACAUUCUUACAGACUUCUUUGCUUACAUCAGCGAGCAAGCUUUGUCCAAAUAGACCUGAUCAUGAAGAGAGAAGAAAGCAAGGACAAGACAUCAAAUCAGAAAAAAAGUUAAACGAGCUCAGUUAUAAAAAAUAACUUGAGAUUACAUAUUAGAAUAUAACUUAAGAAAAUUCAUUGUGGAUCGCCAUAUAAAUGCUAGGGAUCAUACCAUCAAUAAAAUAAAAUAAUGGUGAGAAAACAAUAUUAUGGGCAGAAAAUAACAAUAUUUAUGGGGAUACUGAAGCAGUUUACAUAAUUGUACUUGUAUACAGGGUAAGCCUGGACAGAAGGGAAGUCACAAGUAAAAAUUAUGUAUGUGUAUCGAUAUAGCAAUCAUUCACUCCAAAAUUAAAGUUACACAACAUGGUACAAUUUCAGGACAUUUUUGGGAGGUCAGAUAAAUCUGUAUUCCCAUUAAUUUAUCAAUAGGAGUAGCCUCCAGCAACAUUCUAAAGGCAUGCAAAAGGAGAAAGCCCAAAGAUAAGCUUGGGGCACAGCAAAAGCUUAAAAUCUGAAAACCAUCAGGUUAAUCAGCAGACAACACAAGCUAAUUAGCACGUAAGUAGCAGCUUCUCAACCUCUUGGAUGAUCAAAACUUUAAUCCCAACAAAUACACGAGCUUCCAAAGCCUGCUCCCUCUCCACUAUUCUGCAAUUGGGAACAAAAACAAAUCUGUAGCAAAGUAGGGAACAUGAAAACUGAUUAGGAAGAUAAAAGAUUCCUAUUCAAAACAAGCAGUGUUUCUUCUUUCCAAAAUUGACCACCAUAUUAGGUUGCCGCCAUAAAAUAAAUAGGUGAUCAACUUUAUCCUUUGUAGUACAAAAACAACAUUGUAUGCGCAACUUGUGUAUAUAGAUACCACAUAACCAAUUCACACCAAUAUAGAUUUCUAGGAGGAUCUCACGUGGCCAUUCUGUAAAAUAAGACUAAAUACAUAAAGAAACAUUAAACACCCCUUGAGCAGUACUAAGCAUAGCUUAUGCCAAGAAUCAUUCAAGUUGACCAAAUACUUGACUAUGACUGAAUCCAAGACUUUAAAUUCUAAUUAUGUACUUCUAAUGAGAAGUCCAAGAAAUCUGCUUCCACAAUACCAGGCACAGACAAUUACAUUAUAACUGGAAAUUAUACUAAAUAAUGACAAGCACAAAGACUAGUCUCCCAUCCAGGGGUCAACAAAAUAUAUAAUCUAAGCAAUUGUGCACCGUAAAAACAAGAAUGGUAAAAUAAAGGAGAAGGUCUGGCAGUACACUUGAAGUAAUUACCUGUCCAGAGGCCAUCGGAAAUUAUCAGUUGAAGAAUUCCCGAAGUAAGAAAUGGGAGUAUCAGCCUCCAAGAUCUGCCAAAAUAAAUUGACCACAACCAGUAUGAACAUCACCUGCACAAAAUUUGGGAUUGAGAGGAUAUCAGGAUAAUGUAAUUGUUUGGUGUAAGAAGGAAUUGUACAUGAACGGGAAAGACAUAUAGGGGAACCUAGCCGAACACCAUGCUAAUGGAUGUUAUGUUGCCGGAGUGGAAAGAAUUAGUGAAGAGUGGUAGGGGCAUAAAUACACGUACCUGUAACGAGUCAACGGAAGGAUGGGCACAUCACCUGCCAUGAAUGCCUGCAGAGAAACUGAAGGAUGAUGGCUUCAAAUCCCAGCGGGGCAGUUGUGCUCAGCCAAACAGCCAUGGUGUCAGCCCACAUCUCCCGCGCAGACUCUCCUUGCCCUAAACCGUGGGACCGAUCGAUACAUCACCUCCUCUCUCUAGCAGAGACUGUCAGCGCAAGCUCGCUCCCCACUCUCUCUCUCUCUCCCUCCCUCCCUCCCUCCCUCCCUCUCUCUCUAGUUUACCAUAGGUUCCUCUGGAAAAGCAGCCCUCUAGGGCUUUUUGGCACAGGAAUCAGAAUGUAUGGUGAAAGCCGGAGUAGACAACAAACAACAUUCAAGGUUGCCCAAGUCACGAAAAUGGAUGUGCAGAAACGCGCAGGGCGUUAGAUGGUUGGAAAGCUGCUCAGUUUUACUGUCCUAAAAUGUGGCUAAAUUUCCGGAUAUCAGAAACAUAGCUCGUCACGACAUAGUUCAUUGACCGCGAACGAAGGCCUAUAUUUUGUUCGUUAUUGUGUGAAUCACUGAAUCAAAAAUGACCUGAGCGGGUUGUGAUAACUCAGGUUGCCAAUUUCGCUGCUUGUUUAACAGAUGAAAAUCGCAUCUUCUAACAUUUUCCUAGAGUGUUUAUAAAAGCAACUGUUGAAAAAGCACAGUUCAACAACCACAGACCAGAGAAUUUCUUGAACAGACUAAGCAAAUCUAUACCAAUAUAAGAAAACAUGAGUUAGGAUGAGGUUCAUUUGAUCUAAGCUCACCAAAAAAUAUAUUUAAAUUUUAUAACCAUCAAUCCCAUGGUUGUGGGCAAAUAUUAUACCAUCUCCUAAUCAUAGUAUAUGUAUAGUUUGUUAAUUCAACUUAUUUAUUCAUAGUUACUUUCUGAUUUUAUUUUAUUGACAUGGAAAUUUAUUUCUCCUCUUUACAAUUUUCUACUACAUGACAUUUAUGUAAAAGAAGCCCGUGUCAUUACUAUCGAGACGGACAUGCUAUUUCAAGCUUAUAAACAAAUUUUCAGUCUUAACACUGGAUUCUACACCGAUAUACAUGGCUUUAAAGUAUCUGUUUGGCUAAAAAAACUGACGAGUAUACAACUGCAUCUGACCAUCGGAGUGCUACACCGAUAAAUAGGAAGGCUAACUUCUGUCCCAAUGCUCUUUUUUGUGACGAAAAUCUAAUAACAGCGCUUUUUAAACUAUAUGAUUUCAUCGGCAUGGACAGGAUGAACCCGCAUCAGAAAAUCCCGGUGCAUCUUUUUCAUCCUCGUUCACCUCUUUGGCUCUCCCUUCACCACCGUUUCCUUCUAUUCUCUUGAGCUCAACUCCCACCUACAUGCUAAGAGUCACCACCACGAUGUAGGCUUCUAGGAUCUCCUUCCUACUCCUAGUAGUCGCCACCAGGAUGCGUCAGAAUUCAAGUGCAUGGAUCCCUAACUCCGGCAAAGGAACAUUCAUAUAAAAGUUUGAAUCAUCAUUUUUGUCAAGGGAUGUAAUAUAUUUUUGUAUUGUUAUUAUUUUUGCUAGACACAACCUCAGCCUAAGGUUGACAAAGGGAUAGAAAUAGAAAUACGUUCUCUCAAAAGGACAAUAUAGGGAUCUCACAAUUUCAAUAGAUGUUCCAACACCUUCUGCACGCCAGAAUUCUCCGCAUCCUUUACCCUUGACAUGUUAUCACUUAAAGUUACCCAAAUACCACCUUGGGUUUCUACCUGAACGGAGUAAACAAAUGUCCUAUCAUGUGCCGGGCCUUCUUCCUUCUCUAACCCGAAAAAAAGAAAACAAUGAAGCAACUGUGUAGGGCUGAUCUAGGCAAAAUGCCAAGUUAGAUAAUGCAACGAGUGGCAAGCAUUCAAAUCCCCAAUGUGUCACUAAACUUUGCUGGUCAUCUCAACUUAAAACCAUCAGUUAAAUUAAAAUAAUUCUCAAUCCACCACCCAAACAUAAUGGCAUUACAUGGCAUUACAAUCCAAAGCUAUACUUUUACUUCCACGUUGCACCUAGUGGUUUCUGAUGAAUUGAAUAUCACGAUGAAAGAUUGAUUGAACCAAUAUUCAUACCUUCUCUCCAUGGACAUAAAGAUCAUCAAACCAUGAUAUGCAUCAAAGACAAAAUAUGUUUGGAUAGAAGCAGUACAUGGAUGAUGACCACUGGUGUGACAGCGGCUGCAACUCAGCCCAGAUCUUAGUGAACAUGCAAGAAACCGGCGCGCCAGAUGCACCCUAUGGGCCAUAGGACGAGGCUGCAGACCGACCCUCCUGGUCAGAUCUAGCAGAGGGCGGCAACUAUAUGCGUGGGCAAGCACCUCCCAGCCCAAAGCACCGACGGACCAAGGUCGGAGGCCAUGACCGCAUCGCCCCCACGCGCCGACGAUGGGGGACAAUAGCUCCACUGCAGAGGCCAACAAACGAGGCCAUGGACUGGCCUUCUUGGACAGAUCCAGCGAUGUGCAUCACCUCCAUGCCUCGGCGGGCAUCUCACGUCCCAGCGCAACAACAGGCCGAGGCGGCAGCGAAGAACGUGUCGCCCGUGCGCGCAAUACUACGGGAGUUGCACGCUACCAUGCCCGAGUGGAACCCCACAGUUCUCGGAGCCACGUAGCUGACAACGCCAUGCGCGGAGGUACAGAGAGGAAGAGCAACGGUAGAGGGAGGGAGUAGCGCCCCGCCGCCGUCGUAAGCCGGCCUAUGGCCGGUGACAGCGGUGUGGGGAGGACACGAAGAGAGUAGCGGUGGCGAUGGGAAAACCUAACCCACAACCCACCCAAGAGGGUGAUGCGAGGUCCUCGCAAGGAAGAUGUGUGAGUGGGUGGGGACAGCGUGAAGUAGGCUAGGAGCGCAAAAACAGAUAUGGGAGCGAGAUAGGAGAUGAAUGUUACAGGAAGUAAGAGAGGAGAAAUGUGGGCAUGGGCUACUAGGAUGGAACACAAAAGCGAUGGAGGGAGUGGGACAAUGCCCGGAGUAACAGCGGUCGGCAGGAAAAAGAAUGGGAUAAAGCAAGGAUACAUGCCCAUCAAUUUUCUAAUUUUCUGAUUGGUUAAGAUAGUAGCUGACUGUAAGGUGGCUCAAUGCAUACAUACAAAUAAUCAUGUCAAGUAGCUGCCGAUUUAAUCAAAAUAACUUUGUGAAACACGGCGAUGGCGGAAACUAACAAAGUGCACAUUUUUUAUAAUUCAAGGUAGUGUUUUAGACGGUUUUGGAGUUCUAGGUUGAAAAGACAUGCUCAAACCAUAGUUUAAGGUUGAAAAGUGUACACUUUUUUCAUUUCAGAAAUGUCGCACUAACUAAGAUGCUAAAAUGUACAAAGAAUGCUGAACUGAUUUUAUGAGUUCCCAAGGACGGUAUAUAUAGUACAACCAUGAUUCAGACAAAAUAAAGAAAUCAUUCUGGUUUGAGUACUAAAUCAACAUGAAAGCUUCCCCAACAGCAUUAGCAUAUAGUUUUUUUAGUUUAUGGAGUAUGGCAUUACUCUUUGCAAUCUGAAGCUUGAAUUCCCAGCAAAUCAGGACUUAAGAGAAACAAAACAAGUUUAAUCUAAAUAGUUACUUUUGGUUUCCACUUUUAUACUUUUUAAACAUAUCUUAUUCAGAAAUUUCCUUUUUUUGAUAGAAAAGAUAUGACUGAACAAAUUUUGAAUUAAGAACUAUNNNNNNNNNNNNNNNNNNNNNNNNNNNNNNNNNNNNNNNNNNNNNNNNNNNNNNNNNNNNNNNNNNNNNNNNNNNNNNNNNNNNNNNNNNNNNNNNNNNNNNNNNNNNNNNNNNNNNNNNNNNNNNNNNNNNNNNNNNNNNNNNNNNNNNNNNNNNNNNNNNNNNNNNNNNNNNNNNNNNNNNNNNNNNNNNNNNNNNNNNNNNNNNNNNNNNNNNNNNNNNNNNNNNNNNNNNNNNNNNNNNNNNNNNNNNNNNNNNNNNNNNNNNNNNNNNNNNNNNNNNNNNNNNNNNNNNNNNNNNNNNNNNNNNNNNNNNNNNNNNNNNNNNNNNNNNNNNNNNNNNNNNNNNNNNNNNNNNNNNNNNNNNNNNNNNNNNNNNNNNNNNNNNAUCUGACUGAUGGUUUGGACAAGUAUGUUCCAGACCUAGUGACAGGUCUGGAACAUACUUGUCCAGACCAUCACUCAGAUCAGGUAUCUCUUUCCCACGAGUUCAUGCAGUAGGGUUUGGCAAUCAAACCAAACUAGUGGUUUCCAUACUGCAUCUGAGUGAUGGUUUCGACAAGUCUGUUCCAGACCUACCGAGGUCAAAGUACUAUUUACCUAGUAAGGUUAUUUAACAGAAAUGACCAAAGGUUACUACCCUAAGAUAAACGGGAACAAAGGUGAAACUACAAUAAAGAAACAAAAUAAAAUGUGCAGCGGUGAAACAGUUCUAAAAAUGUGUAGUGUAGGUGUGGGAAAGAGAUGCCUCAUCUGAGGAGCAUUGCAGGAAAAGUUCAACUAGUGAACAGGAUAUAUAACACUAAAAACUGAUAGUCAGGAAUCUUACUUAAAGAUGGGUUUUGGCCAAUGCUUCCUGCUGCACUGCUCAAUAAGCUUCUGCUUGCAUUCCCUAAGCUCUCCAACCUCAACCUCCGAUCCAUGCCCAACUCCAAUUGUCAACACUUGCUGAUUGCCUCCACCAAGAAGCUUGCUUAAUGCAUCCCGUGUGGCAUUGAGCUUAGCGAUUACCAUCUGCUCUGAGGAGCCCAUCCCAACAAGUGCCCCACCAACAAAUACAUUUACAACCGUUGUUCCACCCUUCUGCCAAGUCUUGAAUUUUAUAUCUUUCCCAUGUUUCUGGCACAGUUCAUGCAACGUAAACACGGGUUGCUCAUCAAUUGUUUCUGCCGUGACAAUGGGCUCAAAGAGGAACCUUGUUACCUACAUAAUACAUAGUGAUAUCAUUAUUCACCACCCAUUAUUCUAGUGAACUACUCUCCGUAAACAAAUAUGUCGUUUUAGAGAGCAGAGGUCCAUUUUUUUGAACUUUCACAAAUAUUAUUGGUAAAGCUAUCUUGGAUUGGUCAUACCAAAAUGAAAUCAUACGAUUCUUCAUAGAAAAUUACAUAGAUUUUUAUCAGCGUAUUAUGACUAGAAUUAGUAGUUAAGUUAUUUUCUGGAAACCUCAGAUCAACAUAUUAGUGAAUGGGAAAUAACAUGAAAGAUGGAUUACAAACCUUCCAGAGCUUCUCAAGAUUAAAGUUGCAAUCCACAUAGACAGCAGCAGCAAUGGCCUCGACUAUAUCAGCAAGCACCUUGGGAGCCUUAAAUACAGUGCCACCAUAGGGCGUAGUGCCAAGGUCAUCCCCUAACUCUUGUUUCACUGACUGGAUAAACUGGCCUACCUGCAUAGAAGUAUAGCCAGUAACAUAUCAAUGGUAGCCAAAAACAGUUCAUCUAAUAUCCACAUCUCCAAGAGAUAACAUCAAUCACUUCACAAUUCAAAUGUAUUAUGCCUUAUGAACCCGAAUGGAGCUGCGGGAGUACUUACCAAUUCCAGUUUCAGCAUUGCUAAAUACAGUACUAAACAUAUUCUUGCAUCACUAAAUCAAAACUAAGAUGUGGCGUGAGCUGCUAUAGAUAGAUGUUUAGCUCUAUGUUUUACCCUCAAAUUAAGCCCAUCAAACAGCUCAAAUGUAUUGCUUCUAACUCAGGGGAGGAGGAUCCGAGGACGCUUAAGCGGCACAUACCAAGAGAUCGAGGCGAGGGCAGUUGCGUCGGAGCAGCGGGUAGAGGUCGUGGCGCACGGCGACGCGCGCCAGCUUCUCGGUGGAGAUGUUGGCGGCCCGGAGCGUGGAGAGCGCGCCGGGGCCGACGGUGGGGUUGGUGAGGUAGAGGAAGUUGGAGAAGGCGAGGCCGAGCGCCGCGUCCCCGAUGAACUGGAGCCUCUGGUAGGAGGCAGCCCCGCCGCUGGAGAAGAACUGGUGGGUGAGCGCCUCCUCGAGCAGGGAGCGCUUGUUGAACUCGUACUGGAGAAGCCGCUCCACAAGGGCGGCCGCCUCCUCCCUGUCCGCCACGAAACCCGGGGGCGGCAGCGUGACGGGGGCCGACGGCGCAGGCGACGAGGCGAGGCGCUUGCGGGAGCCGGGCUUCAUCAUCCCUGGUGUGCCUGUGCGCGUGACCGUGUGGCUAGAUCGGGAGGGGGAGAUGAAAUUUUGGAGAGGAGGCGGCGCCAAAAGAAAAAAAACAGAGGAGCUCACCUUGCUAGACGAGAUGAUGGUGGCGUCGGCAGCUGCUACGAACUGGGAGGAGGGCGGGGGGACGGGGAUCCGGCCGGAGUUUGGCGGCGUCCGGCGGAGUAGAGUGCCGGCCGGGCCUGUUGCUGGUGCUGGAGACCGGGGUGGGGGCGGGGACGGGUCACGCCAACGGGAGGAGCAGCGGAGGAGGAGGGACCCUAGCCGCCCGCCAUGUCGCCGGAGGGAGCCGCGCACAAGGGACCGGCGGCGGCCUGGAGGAAACCUAGCGAGGUUUUCGCGUGAGCGAGCGGGAGGAAAGGGGAUCCAGGGCUGCGGGCGGGACUGGGCUCUUCGCCUUGCGGGUAUACCUGCCAGUGGCAUUUUUGUUGUAAUAUGCUCAAACAAUAGUGUCAUUUCCCUAUACCCCUUCGGGUUUAAGUGAGAAGCUGCGGGAAGCACCCAAGUGAGGUGGAAAUAAGUUGAGCUGACUUUUACAAAGGUGAGUGCUAGGCACCUGCGCACCGGCCCAAAUUUGGGCCGAUCGCAUAAUGCCACCCGCCUGAUUCAUGAAACCCUAGCCGUGUGAUUGCGUCUUCUUUCUCGUGCAUUAUCUCUUCUCCCUCCUUUCCACCCACAUCCAGAAAGAAAAAUGUCUCAUGCCCGCCACUGCACCAGUCGAUCCCCCCUCCCCCAUGUCUACCCUUCCGUGAAGGACCGUUCCUCGCUCGGCUCGCCGUCGACGUCCUCGCAACCCCGCCGUCGCAGUUGAAGCUGCAUCUCGUGGGCGUUUUGCGGCGUUGCUCCGUGGUCGCAGCCCCCCCCCUCCUUCGCCGUCGUUUGGUAGCAGCCUCGCCGUCAACAUGUCGUAGCCUCGCCGUCAUAGCCAUUUGCUGGCUCUAGGUUGAAGCUUUUUCCAUGGUCAAUUGAAGAUUUUUUUUCGUAGCUGCUUACAGCCUUUCCAUGGGGGUUGAAGCUUUUUCCGUCAUGCCUGAUGAAGCAUUUUUCUCCAUCGGUUGUAACUUAUACUAGGCCGGUUGAAGCUUUUCUCCAUGUACGGUUGUACCUCACCCUAGAUACUCAACGUAGCAAAACUAUCUGUUAGUUGUAGCAAAGAGGUGUGGCGGUUCCAGCAAAAAAGAAGCUGACCGGUGCCGUCCACCUAAUUAUAGUGUUUUUUUUUCGAGAGUACGCCAAUGGCGUACCAUAUUUUUAUAAAAGGCAGAAAAGAAUUACAAGAAGCUACAACUUGCUGCAAACAACAAGUGUAGAAACAACACCACAUCCAAGCUAAUCCGAAGAAAAGUUGCCGCACACAUUACAACACAGCACAAAGGAGCUUGUCGGACCAGAGCAUCGAAGCCGCGUCUCGACCAACGCCGGUCACUACGAAGAGCAACAACUUCGACCGGACUUCCCUUGUCGACGCACCAACCACCCUUGAUGCCGAAAAGGAGAUGACAGGUGGGUGGCGGGACUCAGUACGUCCCGAGAAAGCCACCGUCUUGGACUCACCGACAUUGGGGUACAUAGCGCCCAAGAUCCUCUACUCGGACUAGCGGCACGCACCGAAGAACCACAUCACCGAACCUCCAGGCCAACUCUCCUCCCACGAUGCUCCUAACGGAGGAACGACGCCAAGACGCCACCAUCGCCGGUCCAGGACCUAGGCUUUUGCCCGGAGACUACAAACCAAACAAGGAGGGGAGAUGCCGACACACACAGCGAUGCCUCCAAGGAGGGGAACGACGCCCACAGACACCGUCAUCGCCAUCACCGAUCGAAGACGGGCAGGAUUUUCAUCCGUCGCCCACCUCCCACCCCUUGCAAAGAAUGAGGCCAACAUGUCUGUAAUGGGCCACAUCGCCGCCGCAGCAGCACCUCGGCAUCGUGACUAAUGUUGCAGAACACCGACGCCUUGCACAGCCAAGGACACGCACUCCAUGAACCACCUCCCGCACGGCCGAUGAAGAUCCAAUCCAGCAAGGCAGCACCCAACACCAACACGGCCAGAGGCCAACGGAACUGCAGCAGCAACUGCACACGCCCACUCCUGGCGGCAGCCACGCCACGACCGCGUCUCUGGGACCCAUGAACAGAGAGCAUCUCCACCGAGCUCCCCGCAGAGGGCCGCAGGCCCGGGCA
rnacentral:lncRNA from 1 species